rnacentral:lncRNA from 1 species
GACAAGUCAGUGGUGUGUCACAAACAGAAGUACCCAUUCGCCGUGUUCUACUGCCACAAGGCGAUGAUGACGAGCGUUUAUGCGGUUCCACUCGAAGGAGAGAACGGUCUGCGGGCUAAAGCGGUUGCGGUAUGCCACAAGAACACCUCGGCUUGGAACCCAAACCACUUGGCCUUCAAAAUGCUUAAGGUGAAGCCUGGGACUGUUCCGAUCUGCCAUUUCCUCCCUGAGACCCAUGUUGUUUGGUUCAGCUAUUAGAUAGAUAUGCUUUUAUAUAUUGUGGGCUAUGUAAUAAAUAAUAAUGUUUGACGCACUCUAUUAGAUAGAUAUCUUUUGGAAUAUAUACACAUAGUAAGGCGUUCUAUAUAGUCAAAGAAUGAAGGCAUCUUAUAUAUGUGUUUCAGUUUUCCCUUUACAUAAUUUUUUUUGUGGCCUGAUUUAUUCUUGUUGUUUUGCAAGAAUGUACUGUGUAAUAAAACUAGGCUUCAAAUAUCAAAACAGCUCGUCUGUAAAAAACGGUAAUGUUCGUAAUGGGCCCAAAUGAUAAAAAGAAGAAGAUAAUGUCAGAAGUGGGAAUUGAACCCACGCCCUCUCACGAGGACCAGAACUUGAGUCUGGCGCCUUAGGGCAUCUGCAUCGGGCGUCCCUUGGGCCGUCCCUUCUUCUUUAUUGGGUCGAAAAUAAUUCAAAAUGAAAUUAAAAUGGGUGGGACGGGCCGUAAGUAAGGGACAAUCGGGCUCGUCCCGAAUGAGACGUGGCAACACGGUAUUGGGCGAUGGAAACGACGAAGGGACGGUCGUAUCGGUUCAUUCGCAUUCCGGAAAUUGAAAUCGCAAAAUCCAAAAAGGAGAGCUCGAUGGCGACGAAGUGAAGCAUCGAAUCGAAGAUCGAUCCUUUCCAAACGAAAGCGAGGACCUGAUCUCCUCACUCCACCUGCGUCUUCUCUCUUCCACUGGAGUCUCCGUCGGCGCAAUCGAGAGGUCGCAGCUUCCAAUCGAGAGGUCGCAGCUUCGAAAUCUCAAUCCACUUCCGUUCGAUUCCGGUCCUGUACGCAAGCUUCUUUCCUCUCCAAAUCCUCGGCGAAUCGUCCCAAUCUCGUCAAGGUACCGUCUUCAACUCGUAGAUGAAAUGGUUAGAUUCUAGGGUUUGGAAUAGAAUAAAGCUUAUUGAUUUACAUGGUUCGAUUGUAUGAUUUGUAUCCUUGUAGGUUGAGAGAUUGUUUUCUUUAGAUUAUAUGCGUGAUUCGUAGCUAAAAAACAGCCUCCGUUAAAAACUUUUGAGGUUAGAUCCUGUAACAAAAUAGGUUGAGUGAUUGCUAUAUUUACAGUUUGAUAUUAACGAAAUAGUUUGUGUCUCUUUGGUAGUCGGAUUAGAUCCUGCUCGUUUUGUUUUGUGCUGUAGUUUAGUUUUCUUUCUGCUAUAGUCUGAAUCUUGCUUCGUAAUUCUUUUUGCCUUGCCAUAGUUAUGUUUCUGCUAUCAUCUAUCUGCCUUGCCUGAGUUUGUAAUUCUUUGAGUCUUAGUUUUGUGAAACUUAGCUUAUUUGCUAUUGUUAAAGACACUUGCGUGUAUUUGAAAGACACAAGUUAGGAAUUACUGCUUAGUUACAACUAGUCUAGUUAGUUUGAAACCAAAUAUCAUUAUAUUAAUGAUGUAGUUAUGAAUGUUAGAUAGCUUUUCUCUUCUGUAAUAAGUUUGGAUUAGACACUUCUUGUUCGGAGUUAGCCAUUUAUUUGCGUUUGUACUUUGUAGUCCUCAUAUGAUUGUCGAGGAUGAACGAUCGUCAAUAACUCAGUACAACAUUGCUGAAUUUCGAGAAAGAGAAGAGGCGGAUACCUUUACCGUCAAUAAUCCGUCACCUCUCGGCACUACACUUGAACGUCGGACGAACCUUCGGUAUCUAGAAACCCAUCAACGUUUAAAAAAUGAUUUGAUUGAAAAUAUAUGGAAUAAAUUUGGACAUCUACCAAAUAACAUAUAGUUUCUAAGUUUCUAUUUGUAUUGGAAUAAAUGUUUGUUUGUUUUUUUAAAUUAUGAUAUUGUAAUUUUCUUAAUAUUUCAAUUUUAAUGUUAAACUUCUAUCAUAUAAGUUUUAUUUAAAACUUCUUUAGAUAUGUUAUCACUUAUUCAAAAAAAAAAAUUAAUUAAAUAAUAAACUUAGGGACAAUCAAAAUCCCACUAAUAAUUCACUUAGUCCCUUGGCUUAGAUCCCUUAAGAUAAAAGUUUAAUUAAAAAUGCUAAGGGACUUGAAACACAAUCCCACCGUUGUUGUUGCCCUUAGACCACUCGGCCACCCUGACUGUUGCAAAUGAUUUGUAGUUACAAAUAUAUAUAAUAAACAUAAGUAGAAAUAAGCCAAUGAAAGAGACUAAAACAUCUUGGAAUGACCACAACUGAAUCAACAUAGACAUACACAAAGACACUUACAUGACCAUUCUGCUCCCAAGUCCUAGACCCUCUUAACUAAUCAAAAACCUGGUCUAUCCACCAGCAUCCAAAAUAGACGAAACGAUGUUGUCUCCUAUAAAAGCCUUUAUCACAUCCCAAAACAUUGGUUUUUAGCAGAGAGCUGAGUUCCUAGUCACUCUUUGUCUCAGCCUGUUUUUGGCACUAGAGUUCCACAGUACAUGGUAGGUUUCUUAUACUGUAGUAGCAAUUCAUGUAACGUAUGGCCAAAUAUGAAAAUAUCUCCAUCUCUGGUCCACUUAAUCUCAAAACGUAGUUUGAAUUAGAUACCACACGUUGAGCAAAAUCCUUGUACAUUUGCUAUUGUUCUUUUUAACGAAAUUUUCACUUGACCAUAUGGUGUGUGUAUGAUGAAGUCAUCCUACUGAAUAUCACCCACUUGUAGUAGCAAUGUAAAGCUAAAUACAAUACCAAGCCAUUGAGUCUCUUCUUUGACAAAAGCUUUACUGAAGUGAGCAAUUUCAUGACAAGAUAAAAAAGAGUAUAUAUGAGUACCGCACCGUCUUAGACUCGGUUGCUGAGCAUGUCUAGAAUAGUGUAAGCAGCUUUCUGAAACUGUUCUUUCUCUUCCUCGAGCACCCUCUUCUUCUCCAUUGCAAACUCCUUCGAUCUAUCAAUCUCUUCCUUGAUUCCCACAGAGUUCCCAUCGAUCUCACUGCACCAAUAGAAAAACGAGGCAGCACUGAGCAGUAGCCAUGAUAGUUGUGCGCAGACACAACACAAGAUACUUACUUGACGAACUUGAGCAUAUUCUCCAUCCCCACCUGAACCUGCUGCGACAUUUCUGCAAAUUUCAACGUAUCAGGAGAUUCAGGACCAACAAAAUCUAUACGCAUUGUCAAUAGAGAAACAUUGACUUGUAACCUCAGUCCAACCACUGAUCCAAUCCCAUCAAAAAUAAUGAUAAACCUUCAAAUGGAACUUAUAUGUUUGUCUUCUCAUGCAAUUGCAUAAACCAAAGGGAUAUAAAGAUAGUGUAUCGAGCACAAGCAUAAUCUGAAUAACAGUUUAGAAGAGCAACAAAACUGAUCAAGGCAACGUUAAUGGCAAUCGUUCAUUCUAAUGAUCAAGCGAUUCCGCCAUUGAGUAAGCACAAGAACAAACGCUAAUCCAAGUUUUGAUCAAGCGAUUUCGCCGUUAAAUAGGAACAAAAUCGUUAAAUACCAAGUCAUGGAGCAUUUUGAUUUCGUGAUUUUCACAAAGGAACUCGCGAUGACUCCUGCUGAUUCCUAGGUCACUCGAAAUUUUGAAAGUAAAUGAAGAGGAUUAUCAGGAGAAGGGAGUAAACAAACCGAAUACGAGAGAAGCUAGAUCCGAUUCAGCUUGAUGAGCAACAAGCUGCGCACCACUCUGCGACGGUGAUUCCGCCAUUAUCCUGCGCUGAGUGAAAGAGAUUAAUUUCGUAGCUAAGCAAGAGAAGAGGUUGAUUGUGUAUUUACGAGGGAACAGAUUUGUUUUGAGACGUGACUGACUAUUGGGCCUAGGCCCAUUUAGAUACUCAAAUUCACUGUCUACCAUCCGUAGUCACUCUUUAAAAACUUUUGCGAUAUUGGUGAUAUAAUACCAUCUCUGACCAUUAGAAAUUAGAAAUCAUGUAAAGUUCUAAAAAAAUAAAAAUAUUCAUAUUUUAAUUGUGCAAUUAAAUUUAAUAUUUUUUAAAUCAUUAAUAUGUUAGUUAGAUGACACAAAAAUGUUUAGAAAUGGUUAUAAAACAAAAGUUUUUAGAACUUCUUUUCACUCUCUCUCUUAAUUUUUUUUUUUAUUUCUUUAAUUUUAAUAGGAAAGUUCCAAUCGAAUAACCUCCAUUGGAAGUGGUCUAAAUUUCAAAGUGAUGAUCAUUUAUUUUAUCUUUUGAAAUAAAAUGUAUAUAAACGUUUGAAUUUGAUAUGUUGCACAAUUUUGCUGUACACAGUAUAUAGUGAUUUCUUGUUAAGCUUUUGUAAACUGAUGAUCCUGUGUUUAUUAUAUAUACACUAGAUGUAACUCAUAAUGGUUUUAGUUUGCCAUGUAUUUCUUCAGAUCAUUAACGAAUAACUCAAGAGUCGGGACAAAGGAGACAUGUUGCAAUGGAAAACAACUAGAGCUUAUUACAGAACACCAGCUAACAAGGGCCCAGCCGGUUAAUAUUGAAGAAGAGAUGAGACUCGAGAGACUGAGCCCUCAGGUGAAGAAGCCAAUGACACUAUUGACUCAAGUACAUUGCUCUUAAAAUGCAUAUGAUAGCAAACCAACUUUCAAAAGCCUCUGCUUCAGCCUCGGGUUUGGCGAGUGUUGUAUGAUUUGCAGUUUGGGCAUUUCUGAGCUACCACAUGGUACUGGACCUCUGAUUUUGUCCCACAGUCGUUGCAGAGGAUCUGAACCUGUUUUUUUUCCCAUCAAAUGAUUCAAUUAUAUAUAAUCUGAUGAUUUUGAAUUCCUUACUUGGUUGAGCCUGAGGUGUAAUAAGAGUAAUUUUAGACUAACCAUUUUGUUCUGGUAUGGUUCUGGCAUUGGUGUAGCAGCAAUCUCCACGUCAAAUUUCUCCCACACCUUUGACAUGUCGCAUACAGAUUUUGAGCAAAGCGGGCACGCGUAUCUGCAGAGCACAGUUUACAGUGUUGUCAGUUGAAAGACAGUUUACAGUGUUGUCAGUUGAAUAACAAUCCUGAGUUAUUUAUUAUACUUACUGGUAAUGUUCUCUCAUUUCCUCCAAGCACUUCUGAUGGAUGGUGUGUCCGCAGGGCAAAACUGUUACAUCGUUCCUUGAUUCAAACAGGUACUACAACAAAACCAGUAUUGCCGUUUUGUUUUAGAGGGAUGCUCAAUUAUACCGUGGUGAGAAGUGGAAGAAAAAUUGAAAGAAAAGAUACCUCAAAACAAAUGGGGCAGUCGUGAUGCAUUGCUCCUUCAACACAAGGGUGACUGUUCUUGAGAAGGAUUGAGUAACAACAGCCUGGUUGAUAGUCAGAUUGUACAAGUCAAGAGAUUUAGUGGUGGCCAGCGUAAAAAGUUCGAGGCUAUCUGAUGCAGAAAUUGGCUUACCACACUUGUAACAGUGAAAGAAAUUUUCAUGUCCGCCGAUUCUGGAACAAAAGAAGUAAAAAAGUUCACAAGUUAUGAACAAAUAUCUAGCGUGUUAGAGUGAACCAAUCUUGUUGUAUGUUAAAGACGAGUCCAAGAACGUACCUGCAUAUUCCACAGCCGUCGCAGUGAUAUUGUUUUUUAGAUGUCUGGAAACAAGAUAGAACAUAAUGGUUAACCAGCAGUAAUAGAGAAGCCUGGAAAAUAGUCUGUAGCAGAAAGAGAAAAUGAUCCAACAAUCAAGCUUAGGAAUAAAUUGACUCAGAAAACUCACAUCAUCAUCGUAGAGCUUGCAGGCUUCACAGAAGUACUUCCCCAUGCACACUCCGCAGUUGGUGCAAGUUUGGCGAACCUGGUGAAGACAGAGAAAACAGAGUUAAAUCUUCAAUAGAGUUAAGAAAAUGUUUGAUACCAUCCUAACUGAAACUUCUCAUUACUAAAAGCAGUAAAAGUUCAGAAAAAGCAUAGAGUUAGAACUUAGAACACACCUCUUGUUCAGUGCCACAGAGUGAGCAAAUAACCUGUGAAGAAGAAGAUAGAGAUUCUGGAAUCAAGCAUAAAAGAAUAAACAUAGAGAAAACAAGGUAUUACAAACAACUUUACCUGUUCAACUUUCUGGCGAGGAAUAUCAUGACUCUGUUUCGGAUCUACACUUAUAUUGUUCUGCUUCCAAGACAUGAUGAUUACACAUGUCAGCUUACAAAUCUUGAGAAAAAUAAGAGUGAAAUCAAAAACCUGAAGUAAGAAACUCUACCUUCGCCUCAUUAUGACAGUGAUGGCAACCAAAGAUCUCAUCACAGCAAGGAGAUCUAAUGCAACACCUUCUUCUGUAAUGAGGACAUCUGCAAGAACAUUGGGAGAAAUUAAUUCAAGAAACACGCUCCGAACUGAGGGAAUUCAAUGAGGGAGCAAAAAUUACCCAUGUUCCAUUAGUCCUCUGUCAAGGACUUCUUUUAAUAAUGACUCUGCCGACUCGAGUUCGAGAAUCAACGACUCAGUUUCUUCAUUGCUUGAAUGAGGGCUGAGCAUCUCACUCUUCUCUCGGUCAGUCUUCUGGGGUUGCUCAACGAAAUGGUUGAAAUGUACCCCCUCCAUUACGAACUAUCUGUGAAUGAUACUGGCUAGCUGAUGGAAAAGCUUAUGUAACCUGCAAGCAAGAAAAGAUUUAGAAUACAUAUUCAUCAUUUCCAAGUAAUAUGUCACCUGAAAAAACUCGAUGAACUGUUGCUUCCAUCUACAUUGCAGUAGACCAAUCCAAUCAUCACCAAGACAAUCCAGUUACGAAACGGCUCCAAUAAGCUUUCUCCAAGAGGCAAGUAACAUCAAAACAAGAAGAUUUACAAAUUAUAAAAACUAAACACAGCCCUCUUGGUUGAUGGAGCCUUCGUACAGAAAGAAAAGCUUAGCUCACUUCAGUUCUUGAAAUCUGGGAAAACAUAUCCGGUUUAAACCGGAUAUCCCCAACCUAUCGUAAAAGCAAGGUAAAGACUAUCAAACAACGUUUGGGACUGACGUAAAAAAAUUGGAAUAACCGGGUUAAAAAAGAUGGGUCGGUGUCCAAAGAGGACAGACCUACCUCCCAUUGCCACUCUGCACCAAUAUUACUUCAGUAUGAAUCAGAAUUUUUUACUAAAGGAAUUAAAAGCCUGAAGAGAAUACUCUUUAGUUAUCCAUCUUUGAAUCUGGCCUGAAGGAUGUACCAGCAACCAAAGGAACUAAAAAGACACGAGAACAUUCUACUAAGUUCACAAGCUCCAAAUGCUCUAAGGGAAACUUUAGAUAAUAAACAGAGAAGGUUUAGGAGUUGCAUGAUCAAGGGAAAUAGGACGAAGAUAGCACAAGCACAAGUCUGGGUUAGCGAAGAGAAAGAGCAACACAGGAAGGAAAUGUUUCCCAAGAAUCAAUACUUGUAGAUCCAAGGCUCUCAGACUCACCUUGAAUCUAUCUCUGAGACACACAACAACUCCAAAGAUUAUUCUCCAAGAAGCCUCCUUUUGCUAACUCAAAAGACUGACUCAUGAGCACGGUUCACCAAAUCCAAACACGUGUCAGAUGGAUUAUUAACCUAUUUUUGCAUUACCACCUAGAUUCUUCAAAGUCUUUUCGUAAAACUAUAUACAGAAACCCAAUCAAACAAAGCUAAAGCGUAUGGGAACAAUCAAUCACCAGAGAAGGGAACGAACGAACGAAGAAUCUAAAUCACGGAAACCUACAAAAAGAUAAAUUAAAAUCACACACUACGAAAUAGAUCACGAACUUUCGAUCAGGCGAAUCUCCUUCCACCGAUUCGAUAGUCUCAGAGAGAGAGAGAGACGCUGAUGAGUUCUCCGACGGUUACUCCAGGAGCUCCGAGCGAGAAGCGAUUCGAUCUUCCUUUCAGUUAAAGAAACUUAAUGAGGACACCUUCUUCCCCCCGCGUGUGGGGUUUAUAUACUGAAGGCUUGACUUUUUCCAGAUACUUCGAAUUAUUGCCGUUUUCCGGCGCAAGCGAAAAUAUUUGUUCCUUUAAUUAUUUUUUAUUUGCUUUUGUGUGUUGACAGCUAAAAUAUCUAACACCAUUCAUUUCCAUGAUUCCCCCCAAGUUUUAAUAUCUUACCUCAAAAUGAAUAAUGUGGAGAGAAAAAAAAUACAUUACACAUGUCGCCAGCUAUUUUUCCAAAUGUGUAAUAAUAUUUAGAUUUCCACAACUGGAAUCAAUUAGCACAAUCUUUUCAACAGUUAAUGAAAAGAUUGCAUUUUUCAUUCUCUGUUUUUUCCUGUUCGGGAACGCGCUAGGCGCUAAUCGAACGGUCGGGUUGGACCUAGCGCAUAAUGAGAAAAUCGAAAAAUAAUCGAAAAUUAUGCGGAGUAGGAUUUUUAUAUUGUUUACUAUGUUAUAAAAUAUGUUAAUCUUUAACUGUAUAUAAUAUUUAUACAAUUUCAUGCUUAAGAUUGUAUACAAAUAGAAUAUAAACUUAAUAUACUGUAAUUUUCAUCAAAAUUAUGAAUAUAAAUGAUAUUUAUAAAAUUUUAUAUCCAAUAAAUUAAUAAAAAUAUUAUUAAAAAUAAAAUAAAAUAAAAUAAUAAAAAAUAGAUUAAGCAGCCGCCUAGACGGCUAGGCGGUCGCCUAAACGGCUAGGCGGUCUAGACGGAGAAAAUCAGAUAUCCGAUUUUUUAAAUCCAUUUGACAUAAAUCGGGACGGAAGAAUGACGUUUAGCGCCCAGGCGACCGUCUAGGCAGCUAGGCCGUCCAUUUUUAAAACAUGGCUGUUUUUAGACGAAAAAAACGUUUUUAAAAUAAAAAUAUGUGAAUGAACUGAUAUUUUACAUUAUUGCGUGGGAAAGGUUACUUUACGUGUUGAACUUGAUUAACUUAUUGCGGAGAUGGGGAUGGUGACGUGGCUUCUGAAUGAUUGGAAAUCCUUUACAAGUUUGGAUUCUGAUUAGUUUACGUAUUUACAAUACAUUCCCCCUCAAGCUUAUCUUUUAUGAUGUAGACCCGUUAUCAACUCUUCUUGUCAAUCCUCUCCACUAAUACCAAUCACAUUUCCUUCUUUUUUUUUUUAACACAAUACCAAUCACAUUUCUUCCAUCUCAUUAAAAAAUAAGUAGAAUUCUAUAGUUUGGGUGGUAAAAACCGCAAUGUAUUUUAAAAUUAAUAGUGUUAUUUGUUUAAAUUUCGUGUGAUGUCCUAAUAUAAGUUUAGGAAUUCACACAAACGACUACUUGUAGUUUUGGUAUACUUACACAAUUUUCUUUGAGAAUUCGGUCAAAAAAAACCUUAACUUUGCACGAAUUACCAAAAGAAACAUGAACUUUUGGGCUGACCAAAAAAACACCAAACUUUCAUUGACUUUAGAAUUAAUUAACAAUGUUUUCGCUGACUUGCCAAUUUAGCACGCCGUCAACAAAUUUAACAAAAAUAUUUGACGUCGUUUAUGGUAGACAUUAAGUGAAACGACGUCGUUUUACAUGAUUUGAAAUUAAAAAUAUGUAGACCCCUGGAUUCGAACCCAGGUUGUUUGGUCAAAUGACAAGGUCUUUUACCACUAGGCUAGUGGAACUUUCAAUGUACUUACUAACAUGUUUACUUUUAUUUGGUACUGAUUGAUACUUUGCCAUUUGAUCAACCAACCUGGGUUCGAAUCCAUGGGUCUACAUAUUUUUAAUUUCAAAUCAUAUAAAACGACGUCGUUUCAUCUCAUUUGAAAACGACGUCGUUUCACUUAACGCCAACAAUAAACGAUGUCAAAUAUUUCUGUUAAAUUUGUUGACGGCGUGCUAAAUUGGCAAGUCAACGAAAACAUUGUUAAUUAAUUCUAAAGUCAAUGAAAAUUUGGUGUUUUUUUGGUCAGCUCAAAAGUUCAUGUUUUUUUUGGCAAUUCGUACAAAGUUGAGGUUUUUUUUGGCCGAAUUCUCAAUUUUCUUUGUAUAUUUGUAUUUGAAUUGUUAAAAAGGAACAUAUAUAUUUUCAAGUACUUUCUUAGAAAAGAUAGCGGACUUGCAAAUUAUUUAUCCUAUUUUAUAAGAAUUUGAAAUUAAAUAAGUAUAUAUUUUUUUUUUUGAAACACUAUAUGGUUUUUUGAAAUUAAAUAAGUGUUUCAAAAAAAAAUAAUAAUAAGUAUAUAGUUUAUAAAGAAUUUCUCAUUAUUUUUUUAUGCUUUACUCAAUGUUGGAAACAAAGCAUAUCAAAUAUCCUAUUGUUUAUUACUCACUAGGGGGUGUCCGCGCUUCGCGCGGAAUAUUGUUUUAUUAUUGCCAAGAGCAUGAUUUUUUUUUUGGAUAAUGUAAUUAUGUUAUCGUUUUUAUUUGUUAAGAUCAUUAUUUGAUGUUUUUAGUUUGUUAUGUAGUAGGUGAUAAGUUAAUAUAUUUUGCGUUUUUUUUUAAUAAUGUGUUGUUGUGUAUAUAGUACUUGUUAGUAGUCAAAUGAGCCUCCAACGUAAACUAAUAUUGAAUUUCAAUAACUUUGCAUCUACGCAUUUGUUGAUUCUAAGACUAACGGUUUCAUCGUCAAAAUUGUAUUAUAUUUUUUUCAUAUUUUUGAAAAUUAUAAUUUUUAAGAUGUUUUUUGCCCUCUCCCCAUAUUUUAAACUUGAGCCCUCACCGUCUAUGUAUUUCGUUAUAUUUCUGGUGUGCGGUGCUUCUCACAAUCACCGAAAAAGACUCACAUUUUUCUCUUGUUCUUCUUGCCUUCUUCACCUAUGAGAUUAUAUGGUAUUUGUUGCAGAUCGGGUUUAUGAGUUUUCAGUUGUUCGGUUGCUUCCCACGGCAUUGUAGGCUGUUCCAGUCAAUAUUGAUUGCUCCUCUUCUUCCUUAGAUUUCAGCUGAUGUUAGGAAGUGCAUCUCCUUGGUUGGGUCAGAGUUUAUUCGUCUUUGAUUUUGUAUUCCUCGUCGUUGGCUUACCGUCAAUAGUCUCUGCUCGUUUUGGUUUUCAAGAUCUAGUUUUUGGUGUUCUGACUUCUAUGCUCUCUUUCAUAGCGUGAGGACGGCUCCAUAGUUUUCUGAUUUCGCUCUGUCUCCCUUUCCCUCUUUAUUCUUGCAUCUCUUUGCAGCUUUCAUCGCAUCUCUGGUGGCUCUCCCUUUCACCAUGUUUGCCACUCGAGAUUUGGAUAAUGUUUUCGUUCGUGUAUGCUAUGUGGGCUUGGAAGGUUAUUUCUGGUCUCAAGUUUAGUCUCUGAUUUUUUGGUGGUUGUCUUCCAUUCUCCCUCUCUCAAGUUGUUUCUUUUCUUUCCAUGUUUUCCUUGGUAUAGGUGUGCGGAGUUAGUCUCUUGGAGCUUUGGUCCCCUCUAUGCAGAGCUUUGUGGUUUUUCAGUUGCAUGUCGUCUUGUAUGUUCUUGUUUAGUCUGUGAGGUGUUUCUUACUUUUUAGCUACUGGUUGUGAUUCCGGUGUUUUAGGCAUAUAUUUUUCUGUUUUUUGGUGGCUUUGGCCUUUCGAUUAUUAUUAUCCCUUUGGCCGGCUUUCUUAGUUUAUGUGUUGGUUGUCUAGUUUCUUAUUCUUAAUUUGAUUAUCUUAUGAUACUAAUAGUGAAAUACAUAUAAUUUGUAAAUGAAAUAAUAAAAAUUAGUAAAAGUAAUAAAAUGAUGAAAAGUCUUGCUAUUUUUAGGUGUGAAUAAAUUAAAUAUUUAAAAUAUAUUUAUAUUAUUUUAUUUAUUUCUUGAAUUUUAGAGACCAAUAAGUGUGAGAAGAAUUAGAUAAUACACAAUUAGAAAUUGAUGGAGAAAAUUGCAAUAAUUUAAAUGAAGAAGAAUUUAAAUACAAAAAAAACAUGAGGACACAUGUCAACAAACCCCCUUUCCACAUGUCAUAAGAAGAGAAAAAGCCAACUUAAUAUAUAUAGAUUGGUUUUUUUGUUACACUUGACUUGUUCAAACUAAAUAUCCGAUUUUAUGGAUGAAGUAGAGAUCAGAUAGCAAGGAUGGACGGGUAAUGAAAAAUUGUGCCCACUGCUAUGUAAAAUGGUACAAAUGAUGUUUUUGAGUAAAAUUUAUUUAUUUGGAUAAAUGGUUUAACUCAGUCGAUCUCAUGGACCGGUGGAUUUGAGAUUGGUUUAGGGGGAACCGGAGAGAGAUGUUCAAAUUCCCUGCCCUUUUUGUUCUGACAGAGAUACGCCCAGUCAGCCAUUUAUGAGUGGCCGGCCACGUCACCACACUAAUAACCGGGUCAAGGAUAAGAUAAUGACGUUUCCAAACAAGGCCCUACCGUGAUGCGACCUUCAAGUAAACGCUCGUUCUUUGCGAUUCCUCCGCUUACCAUAUAAAUACAUAAGAUAAGUCCAUUAUUGACAGUUACGAUCGUCUCUCUUCUCCAACGCUUCUGAUCUCCUCUUUCGUUUCUGGUAAGCUCGUUUUCUCUCCAUCGUUUCUGCUUCUCCGUUGACUACGAUUCUCGACGCGAUCGCAGCGGUGGCGCAUGUUCGUGUUCUCUUAGAUUUGAAUCAGUUUCCUUAGAUCAUACUUUUGCGAACGAAGAACGUUUCAGUUUCUGUGUAUGUAGUGCCUUGAUUUGUGCGAUCUUUGUUGAUGUGAUGAUAUAACUGAUCGCGUUUGAUCGAUCCAUGAUGCCAGAGGCUAGAGAAUAGUAGGUUCUCGGCGUAGAUUAGUGUUGAUCCAUACCUAAGGCGUGCGUUAACAAGAGAAAGCUGAUCUUACUAAUCUGUAACGAUGCCUUGUGAUCUUGGCCUACAUUGAUUUUGAUUGAUUGAUUGAUUGAUACCUAAGGGCGUUAACAAGAGAAGCUGAUCUUAUUAUAUCUGUAACGAUCAUCUCUUUAUGAUAUCAAUAUUGAUCUCUUGUGAAUUGUGAUCUUCUUGAUUAGUAUUUUGAGUUAGCAAUGAAGCCAGGAGGAUCAGGAUUGAAUCCAAACGCAGCAGCUUACGUACCAAUCUCCAAAAGAGACGGUGAUUCUGCAAAGCCUGCUGCUGCUGUCACACAUCCCUAUGCAGCUGAUGGUUAUGGAGUUCAAGGAAAGGGAAGUUAUCAAAUGUACAUGCCAAAGACGGCUACAUCCUCUGAGAAGAAGAUGAGUGAGGAAGAUUUGGAGAUGGACGUGGACAUUGAGUUUCUUUUAGCCACGUUCUCUGACUUGUCAUAUGAGUCUAUCAGUGAUGUGUACUUGGCCAACAAUGGUGAUCUGGAUGCAACUAUCGAAAUGCUGACUCAGCUCGAGGUGAUUCAUCUCACUAGUAGAUUUGAUUACACUAGUGUAGAUUGUAAAGCUUAAGCUUUGUUACAAUUGAUGUUCCAAUUUCUGCAGAUUUUCAGUAAUGAAGCCGAGGAGUACCUCCCAGACACACUGGACAUUGGCGAUGUACCUGAAACCAUCGAGCCUUCUACUUCAUCAGCUCCAAAGCAGACGAAUGCAAGUACAUCAACAUCCUCCCGUACCCCAAACGCUCCCUCCUCCUGAUUUGAUGAGUCUUUAAAAUGUGAGGAUUAAGAAAAAAACAUUCUUGCAAUGGAUGAUGAUGAUGAUAUGAGGUUGAUGGGUUAUCUUGGGAGAUCUCUUUACUAUGUUUUCCUUCCCCGCUGCUUUGUUACAUUGGAGAAAAAGAGAGAGUACAAUGUAUAGAUUUUUGAAAAUAUCAAGUGUGAGUGUUGAGAAUUGGGAUUGUUCUUAUGGUGGACAAAGCUAUGAAUCAUUAGCCACUGAUGAUGCUAUUUUGGCCAUUUUGAGUCUUUUCUCUUCUUUUGCUCAUUGCGCUGCUCAGUAUUUUUGCAUCUUCUCUUCACCACAUGUAUGACUUAUGGAAUUGAUUUUGUUCUUUGGUAUAUUUCUAAUGUUUACAUCCAUUAACUAUAUCUUGACAAUGUUUAAUGUUGUAUAGUAUUUUUUUCUCCCAUUAAUUCAAGAUUUUAUUAAGUUGUUAAAAGAUGGAAUCUCAACAUUGUUUGUGGGUCUGUAACAAUUAAAUGAAUAAACGUGCAGCUACAUUUGCGGCCCUCUUCUCUCUCUCUAAGUAUUAUUAUUAGAAUCAUCUAAAAAUACCUCCAUAUACUUGCUCGAUUUGGUUUCUUCUUCUUUCUUUUUCUCCUUUUUCAUCAUUCAUUUGGUGAUGCUGGAGAUCUGAUUCUUUUCUUCUGGUUUUUAGUUUUCGAGGAAGAAGAAAUUCAAAAUAAUAAUAAUAAAAAAGAUGGGUUUGGAUUAUUACACCAUAUUGAAGGUUGACAAGAAUGCAACGGAGGAUGAUCUCAAGAAAUCUUACCGAAAAUUGGCUAUGAAAUGGCAUCCUGAUAAAAACCCUACCACCAAAACCGAAGCUGAAGCCAAAUUCAAACAGAUCUCUGAGGCUUAUGAGGUAACUCCUUUUCUCGUUCCUAAUCUUGAUUCCCUUAGAUCCCAAAAUAUCCAAAACUGUGUGUGGAUAUGUCUUGCUGAGAUCCAUUCCUUUGACUAAUAAUGAGUUUCUUGGGACACAUGCAAAAUGUACCUCCUCAAAGCCUAUUUUCUGAGGCAAUGUUUCAUUUGUGGGAAAACAUUUCAGGUUCUGAGUGAUCCUCAGAAGCGAGCAGUAUAUGAUCAAUACGGUGAAGAAGGGUUGAGCGGUAUGCCGCCUCCCGGGAGCACAGGAAACAAUGGAAGAGCAGGCGGUUUCAACCCUAGAGAUGCAGAGGACAUAUUCGCAGAGUUCUUUGGAAGCAGUCCAUUUGGUUUUGGUUCAGCUGGUGGUGGUCCUGGAAGGUCAACAAGAUUCCAAUCAGACGGAGGAGGAAUGUUCGGCGGAAACAACGGUAGUGAGAACAUGUUCAGGACUUACAGCGACGGCACUGUGCCUAAGAAACCACCACCCGUUGAGAGCAAGUUGCCUUGUAGCCUUGAAGAGUUGUACACUGGAUCGACAAGGAAAAUGAAGAUCUCUAGAACCAUUGUUGACGCUAACGGGUAAUCCUUGUUUCCAUAUUUUGGAGGUUAUAGAUAUUUAAUAAGAAUUUUAGUAAAAAUAAACAAUUAUAAAUUAUUUUAGAAAAAUUGAGGACCAAUGCCAAUGUUUUACUGGACUGUGUCCGGGCCAUGGAGUCUCUCAUUAGUGUGUUGUUUGGAUGGUGAAACAGGAGACAAGCGCAAGAGACAGAGGUUCUAACCAUUGUUGUGAAACCAGGAUGGAAGAAAGGGACCAAGGUCAAGUUUCCAGACAAAGGAAACGAGCAAGUGAAUCAGUUACCAGCUGAUUUGGUGUUUGUGAUAGACGAGAAGCCGCAUGAUUUGUUCAAGAGAGAUGGGAAUGAUCUCAUCACAAGCGCGAAAGUGACGCUUGCGGAAGCUAUAGGAGGAACAACUGUGAGUAUCAAGACGCUUGAUGGGAGGAAUCUACCUGUUGGUGUCACGGAGAUAGUCACUCCAGGGUAUGAGCUUGUGGUUCCUGGAGAAGGGAUGCCGAUAGCUAAAGAAAAAGGAAACAGAGGUGAUUUAAAGAUCAAGUUUGAUGUUCAGUUUCCGACAAGGCUGUCAACGGACCAGAAGUCUGCGCUCAAAAGGGUCUUAGUGGGUUGAAGAGUUGAGAUUUGGAAUCCUCUCAAUGCUCUUGCAGUCAUGGUGAUGGUACCUUCCUUUGUUUUUUUUGUUGUUCAUUAGUUCUUUCUGUGAAGACUUUGUAGCAUGUUCUUGAUGUGUCUUAAAAACAGUCUGUACAAAUCUUUGAUUGUGUUUGUUGCAUACUAUUAAACUUUAAACUCUUGUUCUUAAAUAUUCCGUUACUCAAAGGUUUACAAUUCUAUUAGCAUGCUACAGUAAAUAGAAGUCAAUAAACCUAACAAAAACAUACUAUAAUAUUAGAGAAAGGAACAAAGAGAUAUCCUCUGGCUCAAAUAUUAAUGACAUAAGUAGAGACAUAUGUUUCCACAUUCGAUAAGUUCAUGUUGCCACACAUGGAAGCCAUGGGGACUCAUCUUCUUUAAUGUCUGAAAAUGGCAUAUGGUGAAUAGGAGUUUCCUCCAUAUAGGUACAGAGAUACUCUGCUCCCAUAUUAAUGGACAUGAUACACCACAACUGUAUGCAACAUUCACUUAAAAAUCUUCAUGGCAACAGAUGGAUAGAGUUUUGUGGUUAAUCUUUCAACUGUUAAGCAAAGGAGGAGAAAUAUACUUGUGGUUAACGUGGAUUCCACGGCACACGCCGAUUAAAUAAAACGGCCUAAUUCAAAUAAACAAGGCCCAAACUGAAUACGAGCUUUGAUAAUAAACGGGCCUUGGCAUUUACUUAGGAUACCUCAUUAAUGAAUCCAACGGUUGUAAUCACGUGUCAGUGUCUUUACCAGACGGACGCUAUAAUUGCAUGCGAGUUGUUAAUUAAUAUUAUUACCAGAAAACAAAACCGCUGUUUUCUUCGAUAAAAUCAAAAAACUAAAUUGCCCAGAAAAUACCAUCAUUUCUCUCAGCAAUCGAGAAAGUAAAAAAAAAACAAUCAAUCAACACACUGUUCCUUCUCCUUCUCGAUCCAAACUCUUGUUUUAAUUAUUCUCUCUCGUAUUUUUUUUUAAAAAAAAAUCGAAACUACUGUUUCCUUUCACCUCCCAGAUUUGCUUUUUUCAAAUUUCCUCUCUAGAUUUCAGAAAACUUUCCUCUUUUGUUUAAUCAAUCUUAAGAGUCUCUACUCUCUCUCUCUCUAGACUCUAGGAAUGUUCGUGGUUACUGGAAUCAUGAGAUGAAGAUUUGAAGAGAAAGCAAGUAAUCAUUAGGGUUUCCGAAUCACCAAAAGUGUCAACCUUUUGUUCCGGAUCUGUGGUUCUGUCGGGGGUGAAGAAUGUUCUGUCCUAACACAACAUUUUGAUCUCUCUCUCUCUCUCUCUCUCUCUCUUUCGAUUUCCAUCACUAUGUUCAAGCAGUUUCUCAGUAAGCUUCCUCGGAAGUCCUCAAAACCCGACUCCACCUCGGAUCCAUCCGGAUCCAGCGUUGUCAGAUCCAACUCCGUCAAACGCAUGUCCUCCGCCGUCUUCCCCUCCAGCGUCGUCGCCGGAAUCGAGCCUUUGGUACCCUUCAAAGACGUCCCGACCUCCGAGAAGCUAAACCUUUUCGUCUCCAAACUCAGCCUCUGCUGCGUAACCUUCGACUUCUCCGACCAAACCAAGAACUCAAUCGAGAAAGACGUGAAAAGACAGACUCUCCUCGAGCUCCUCGACUUCGUAUCCUCCUCCUCCUCCUCCUCCGUUAGGUUCACCGAGCCGGCCAUCCUCGCGAUGUGCAAGAUGUCCGCCGUUAACCUCUUCAGAGUCUUCCCUCCGAGCUACCGAGAGAGAAACGAUAGUGACGAUAACGAUCCCACGUUCGAACCUGCUUGGCCUCACCUGCAGAUCGUUUACGAUCUGCUCCUUAAGUUCAUCACGUCUCCUUGCCUCGACGCUAAGGUAGCUAAAAAGUAUCUAGACCACGGGUUUAUCUUAAGGCUCCUCGAGUUGUUCGACUCCGAGGAUCCGAGAGAACGAGAGUGUUUAAAGACGAUACUCCACCGUGUCUACGGGAAGUUCAUGGUUCACAGACCUUUUAUCCGCAAAGCAAUGAGUAAUAUCUUCUACAGCUUCGUCUUCGAGGCCGAGAAGCGCGGCGGCGGCGGAGGAAUCGCCGAGCUUCUCGAGAUUUUCGGGAGCAUUGUGAGCGGUUUCGCGCUGCCUCUCAAAGAGGAGCAUAAGAUCUUCCUGUGGAGGGUGUUGAUUCCGUUGCACAAGGCCAAAUCCGUUGGGGGGUAUUUCCACCAGCUGUCUUAUUGUGUGACUCAGUUUAUAGAUAAGGAGCCGAAGCUUGGGAGCGUUGUGAUCAAAGGUUUGUUGAAGUUUUGGCCUGUGACGAAUAGUCAGAAGGAGGUUAUGUUUCUUGGGGAGGUUGAGGAGAUUGUGGAGGUGAUGAGUUUGGUGGAGUUUCAGAAGGUGAUGGUUCCUUUGUUCUUGAGGAUUGCUUGUUGUGUUAACAGUUGUCACUUUCAGGUAGGUUUCUUGCUUUCUUUUUAAGAGAUAUUGUUAGAUCUCAAUCAGGGCCGUCUAAAAUUAUAUUUUAGACCUUGUUUAAAAAAAAUAUUAACGGUAUAUUUAACUACUAAGUUUAAAAAGUAAAUAGACGUUUUUUUGGAAAUUAUAAGCUCUAAAUUUAGCUUUUUGAUCAAAAAUUUUGAAGUUUUAAACCAUAAUUUAAAAAAAUAUUAACGGUAUAAUUAACUAAGUUUUAAAAGUUAACAGACGUUUUUUUUUGAAAUUAUAAACUCUAAAUUUAGCUUUUUUUGAUUAAAUUUUUUGAAGUUUUAGACCAUAAUUUAUGUAUAUAUUUUUGAAAAUUUAUUUUAUUUUUAGAUACCGCUCCACUUAGAUGGCCUUGGUCUCAAUUUUGAAACUUGAACCGUUUGUGUUUUUCUUGUGGUUUAGGUUUCUGAGAGAGCUUUGUUCUUGUGGAACAACGAUCAGGUUGUGAAUUUGAUUGCACAGAACAGGCAAGCCAUCUUGCCAAUCAUGUUCACUGCCUUGGAGAAGAAUGCUGAGAGCCACUGGAACCAAUCUGUGCUGAACUUAACUCUAAACGUGAGGAAAAUGUUCUGUGAGAUGGACGAGGCUUUGUUCAUGUCUUGCCACGCGCGGUUUCAGGAGGACGAAGCAGAGCAAUGCUCUGCGGAGGAGAAGAGGAAAGAAACAUGGGCGAGGCUAGAGAAGGUGGCAAGUAUGAAGCCUGUAACUGGAAAGACAGCUGUUCUGGUAACUCCUUUAGCAACCUCUAUUGCCUGCUAAAUGAAGAUGAUGGAAUGGUUGUUGGUUAAGCUAUGGUCUGGAUUUGAUCUUUGUAAUGUUAUAUAGUUUUGAUGUUGUUAGCUUAUGUGGGUUUUAUGCUAAAUCUCUUGCUUUAAAAGUGAGGAAGCCUUGAAACCAUGCUGCAGAUUUCUAUAUGAAACUCUUUGUAUUCAAUUAAGUUUAUAUAAGAAGUCAUUUUCAACAAUGUGUUAUGUGUGUGUAUAUGAGGUACAUAGAGUCUUGCUACAGAAACAAAAACAUAGUUAUUGUCUUCAUUGUAGGCAUGCACUCGGGUUCGGAUAAUUCGGUUUGGUUCUAACAUAAAUCUUACCAAAUUUGAAAUAAAGUUUGGUUCGGUAUUCGAUUUUCAAAAAUUUAAUUUUUUUUUAUUUUGGUUAUAUUUUGAUUUAAUUUUGUUAAAAUUUCAGAUAAGUUUGGUUAAAUUCAAUUAGUUCAAUUAUUACGGUUUGAAAUGUGGCCAAUUCGGUUCAAAUUUUGGCAUAAUUUGGUCGUAAUUUUUUUUUUCAAAGAAAACCAAAGUAACAACCACUUACCAAAUCGAAAACUGAACAUUUUUUAAUAAAAACCACCAAUUCUAUUUGCUAAAGAAACAAAAACAUAGUUUUUAGUCUCUUCUUCACAAAACUUCAUAGAUUAAGGUCAUGUAGGAAGAACGUUUUCCCACGAUAUGUUAUGGUCUUUUCUUCACCUCCAAGGCACCACAAAUGCCCUUGCAGGUCAAGACUCUCCUUCAUCCCAGCCGUUUCCCACACAAAUUCAAAUAGCCCCAAGGCUCUAUCCAACUGCUUGAUCCCUCUCCCCAACAUCUUCUCAUCCCCUGAGGUCAAUACCCUCCCCAUGCUUAAGCUAAAAACCCCACUCUUCUCCUCCUUGUGAAACCCUCCACAGAGAUCAACUUCAAUGUCACGCACACGUCCGUAGAGAAAAUACACGAGGAGAGUGAACAAACACGGAGAAGGACUCCCCAACAUCUUCGAAAGCUUUCUGUAGACAAGGUGCUCUUGAUGCCUAACCUCUCUGAACCCAAUAGUGUUGUCCAGAAACACGUCUUUGAUCUGUAGAAGCCCUUCUUUCAUCGACAAAAGCUUCUCCAUAUGGUAAAAGUCAUGCUCUUCGAGGUACCUUCUCAGAUCGUUCACCAUGUCGAGAACAUCUUCCCACUUCGCAGAAGCGUUUGCCUUCGCGUAUCUACCUGGCACGGGACGCAUCCAUGAAGUCGAGCUCUCGUCUUCGAACGAAACCGAUGAUUCAGACAAGAACUUGAGGCAAGACAAGAUCACUUGCUGUCCUAACUUCGUCCCUUGCCUUGUUGUCUCGCUAUGUUCAACUUCUUCUUGGAGACCAUUCAGUAUAUCUUCGAGCGCACCUCUCCAGAUACGGUACUGGGUCACCUGUGAACACACCGUGGACCUCACUAGCUUCCUCUGUUGGGCCGUGAUGUCAAGAAAGUUGCAAACUUUGGUUAAUGAGUUCACCAACAAUGGCUCUCUUUCGGUUUCGGUGUUGAAGCGUCCGUGUUCUUUGAGCUUCUGCUGAAGUGAAGGUGACCCAACGAAGAUUCUAGCUAGAGAUUUGAAGGCUUGCAUCUUCUGUUUGAUGUGAUCAUCGUAGAUGAUGACGCCGUUGAUGUCUUCGAGCUUCCCGUCUACUAAAUCAAAGUCUUUUAGUGAACGGGUGAGUUUGGUUAGAAGUGGGAGUUUCUUUGAGUACCAUUCAAAUGGUAAUGAUUCUUUGUAGGAAUCAACAUGGAUUGAACGGAGGAAGCGACUUGGGUUAGCCCUUACGGUACCCAACAUUUGAAACAGCUACGAGCUAAUAUUCAGACAUUAAGUGAAUAAAUCAGACAAGAAAUGUCAAACUCUCUCUCUCUCUGUCUCUCUCUUGGGAAUUUCUACGAACAGUUUGUGUGCAACUCUUGAAGACGGGAAAAAUCUAAGAGACUCAUCAACAUGUAGGAUUUUCUAACUAGACAUUAAAGUUGUAGUGCAAGAGCAUCUGUAGCGUGAAAGAGAAGUGAAGCGAUUUGGGAGAAGAGAAGAGAAGCUUCAGAUGAGUAGAUAUGGCAAUGUCUGUGAGAGAGGAGAUGAGAAGUUGGAAAGCGAAGAGAGCAGGUUUUGGGUUUGGAUCAUUAAUGGGCCGAAGAAAUAAUAAUUUAAAAAGGCCCAAGAGCUAGUAUUAUUACGGUAUAUUUUUCUUUUUGUUUUACGUACUAAAACGUUUCUAAUAUGUUUUUUUUAUUAACCAAGAAACUGUAAAGUUUCCUCAUAAAAAUUGUAGAAUUUUCAUAUAUAUGUUUGUUAGUAAUACUGUAUAUGUAAUUAAAUCAUUUUUUUUUGUCCAAUUGCACCACCAUGCUUUCCAAAAACCAAGGUAUUACAGUUUCUAAUUUUGUAAUUCUUAAACCAGGGAAAUGGUCUUUUAAUUAUCUUUACUUUUGCUCGUAACAUUCUUAACUUUCCCACGAAAAUCAGAAUUUUGAAAUAUCCAGUUAACUGUUAAGCCUCUCUGUUGUCUCCUAAGCAUUACUCUGUGAGUCUAUCUUCCCCCUCCAACGGAUUUUCAGUUUAUUAAAUGAAAUUUCUGAAUGUUGUGAAGAAUAUAUAGUAUUGAUAUCUUUUAUCAAAAAGGAGAUAUAGUAUUUGAUCAUGUUUAUGUCUUUUUAUAUGAAGAUUUACGAUUUCUGAGUCCGAUUCCUCUUGACUCGUGCGGAUGCCUCUAUUGUUUUUAGUAGAAUUAUACCAUACAUAUUAUUUUUUUUGAUAAUCAAUUAUACCAUACAUAUUACAUACGGCCUUUAAAAGGAAAAAGCGUUUUCAUCCAAAUUAUUGAGAAUGCAUGGUCCUUCCAUGACAACUGCAUACUUUGCAUAAAGAUAUAUAUAAAUCAUUAGGAAGAAUGUGACAAAAAACAAAAGAAAGAGAAGCGAAGAAAGAAGGGCUUAUAAAGAUGAAUAUGCUUUCUUUUAUGUGGGUUAAAGAAAAAUUUUAUGCUUUCUUUUAUGUUUUAAAAACUUUUUCUUAAAGUUGCUGCAAUUUUCUAAAAAUUUACCAAUCUAUUAAUGUUUUUCUUUAACUGUUUUGUAAUGAUAAAUUGUUUUUAUUAUUGUUUUCAAGGGUAUUUGUAAAAUGGAUAAAAGGUCUUCUUUGAUGUUGCUUUUUGCUACAAAAAUUGACUUUAACAGUAUGAAUUCUUGUUUACUUCUUCCGUUUCUCAAUAAAUAUCAUUUUGACACUAUUCACACAGACUAAUAAAGUAGCGGAAAUAUAUGUAAAUUGUUACUAUCUCUGUUCCCGAAAGUAAGAUUUUCUAAAGUGUUCACGCUUAUUAAGAAUUCAAUAAAUGUUUAUAAUUUAUUUUUUCUUUUACUUUAUUAUACACUUUUCAAUAACUUUUCACCAAUGAAAUUUAAUCAAUUCAAAUAUUUUCAUUUAAUGUUUCUUAAAAGCAUAAAAAGUACCUUAAACAUAUAGAAAAUCUAUAUUUGUGAAACAAGUAAAAAAUCUAAAACAUCUUACUUUGGAGAACGGAUGAAGUAUUAAUUAAAUCUUUCCGACCAAUAGUAUUUGAGAUAAGUAAAAUUAUUUAUAAAACCAAUGCAGUUUGCAAUUAAUUUUCAGCUGAAAUUAAGUAUAAUUUGCAUUGUAAUUGUAAAGUGAAUUUUUUUAUGUAACAAAAAAAAGAUAGAAUGACACUUAUUAUGAAACAGAGAGUAUAUAACAACUGAUUUACACUUUUACUUAGAAUGGUUAUCGAGAAAAACGAAACACUAAGUGCUUAGUUUAUGUAUGUAAGUUAGUUACUCCCCUAAUUUAUGUUUAGUUAACAUGGAUUAUGAAACUGAAACUAUGAUUAAAGCUAUGUGAAAACAUAUAUGCACACAUCUAGUCUGACUCUUCCAAAUCGAAAAAGAUGUUUCAUCUGUAUUCUUCGAAAAAACUUAUAAAGCAGUGACUUAAUAUGACAAUAAUAUGUAAUUUAGUGACUGAUUAAUUAGGAAUAUCGGAGUAAUUGUAAAAUUACGUACUUAGCUAAGUUGUAUAAUAUGACUAUGCUAGUUAUAAUAAAAUGUGUUUUUACUAGCUAGCAUAGUCAUAUUCAUACAACUUGACUAAGUUAUAUGCAAUACUGUAUUCGAUUAAUACAAAUAAAACAGAUUUACUAUUAAGGAAUAGACCCUUUUUCUUGUCUAUAAUGCAUACGUAUGUUAUAUGUCUUAUCUAAGUUCAUUUGGUGAUAUAAUAACAUCGAACUUGGUCGAGCCUGUCUUAAGAAUGCUGUUUACUACAAAUCAACGGGUUCAAAUAGCAACGCAUGACAUGAAUGCAAUGCAUCUUAAUCGAAUAUAAUUGAUAUGGGUUUGGAAUUCAAAGUGGGAAUGAUGCAUACCUAAGACGUACUUUCACUUCACUAAAACCAAAGAAGAAUAAAAUGAUGAAUUAACUUAAAAGUGGGGAAAAAACGAAAGAUUCUUUAGUAAAAGCCAAUUAGUGCAACCCUUUAACAAAAAAGCCAGGCAAUGGAUUGUAGUAGCAGACAUUAAAGACGGGUUAUCUUCUUUUUUGACCAUUUGAUGAUAAUCUUAACUACACAACUCUACCAGGUCAAAUGACGACUGAAGAAUCCUAUGCAAAAUGCAACGUGUCUGUAGACACGUACCCACGCUUAUACUCACUAGAAUGAAUGGUGAGUAACAAACAAAUCUUCAUGUAAGGGAACAGUAUAAAAAUGCUCUGCCGCGAAACAUCCAUUUGUGACAUAAAUUCCAAAACGAACUCGGUGAGCUUGUCAUUCAGGUAUUUAGUGACAACAUAAUUAUUAUUCUCUGGUAACUAUUCAUAUUCUUAAAGAAAGGAACUCAAGAUAUUUUUCUUUUCAAUGUGGUGGUCAACUCAUCAUACCUAUAAUAAUAUAUGCUUCAGUUUAUCCCCCGUUGAAAAUUUCAAAUCUCAUGGUUAUUCACUCUCUUUUUGAGCCAUUGGAUUUUGAUGUGGUCCAUGCAUGCAUCUACUCAUUUCAAACACUUUUUCUUACUCAUUUCAAACACUUUUUCUUACUCAUUUCAAAUACUUGCUAGAAUUGUUGUUUGGUUUGACGUAAGAAUCUCUAUCCCUAGCUAUACUAAAGUUUAUAUAAGAUUAAUUGCAUCAUAUGAUUUGCAUACAAUUUGGAUUUGCUGUCGCAAAUCUCAUCGUCUUGUACGGUCAACAACUCAAGUGCUUCAAACUUAGAUGAGAAUCGACAUUGCGGGAUAAGAGAGUAAUAGUUUAUCAAAAAUAAGGAUGCAUUGAUUAAAACAAACGUACACAGUAGGAGAUCGAUAUCAGAAGUCAGAACAAAGAACUUCCGAUUUUUCUUAUUAGCUUAUAGUCUAAACAUAACCAGACAAAGGUCCUACGAAAUACGAAACGAGUCAAAUCGAGAAAGAAAAACACAAAUAACGACAAACAGGGUCGUUAUCUUGCUUCCAUUCUUCAGUAGUUUUAUCUCUUCUAGUGCAGGCUGCAUAAAAAAGCCAAAGUAUAUGUUAAAUACUGUUUCAAUCAUGAGGUCUCACGUUUUAAAAUUUAAAAUGAAAACUUGUAUUCACGUAAUAAAUUUAGACCCAAUAUACAUGGGGCACGAAACAAUAACUUAUUUUGCAUAUGUUCUGGAUUGGGUCUGGUUAGUUUCUAUAUAUGCCACCUUUUGUCAACGUAUAUAUAGCACACUAGCAUAUAAACCAUGAGAGAUUGUUGUGGCUUGAGAGUAAACUUUUGGAAUUAUUAGAAAUGAAAUUUAUUGAAGAAAUAACAAAUAACCAAAUUUACUUGAUCAAGAUGAUGAAGAAAGUUAGGUCUAGUAGGGUGGAUUGGUGGCAGGUUCCUUUGGGGCGUUGCACCUGAAACACUCUGACCUGCUUGCGAAGUUAUGUUCAUUGCAGCCUGACCUAUACAUACAAAACCAAUCAGCUUCUACAAUCUUCUUAUACAUAUACAAACAUGAAUGAAUAUAAAUACUAAUAUUCUAAAAUUGUCCUCUUAGCUUACGAAGCCUGCGCGCGCAUGAAUUUAUGUAUAUAUAUUAUUACAUGGUGGAGACGCCCAUGUACAUUUUCAUGAACCAUGCACAUGAAACAAACAAAUACAAAAAAAAAAAAAAACUUCUGCUGAAGUGAAGGUGACCCAACGAAGAUUCUAGCUAGAGAUUUGAAGGCUUGCAUCUUCUGUUUGAUGUGAUCAUCGUAGAUGAUGACGCCGUUGAUGUCUUCGAGCUUCCCGUCUACUAAAUCAAAGUCUUUUAGUGAACGGGUGAGUUUGGUUAGAAGUGGGAGUUUCUUUGAGUACCAUUCAAAUGGUAAUGAUUCUUUGUAGGAAUCAACAUGGAUUGAACGGAGGAAGCGACUUGGGUUAGCCCUUACGGUACCCAACAUUUGAAACAGCUACGAGCUAAUAUUCAGACAUUAAGUGAAUAAAUCAGACAAGAAAUGUCAAACUCUCUCUCUCUCUGUCUCUCUCUUGGGAAUUUCUACGAACAGUUUGUGUGCAACUCUUGAAGACGGGAAAAAUCUAAGAGACUCAUCAACAUGUAGGAUUUUCUAACUAGACAUUAAAGUUGUAGUGCAAGAGCAUCUGUAGCGUGAAAGAGAAGUGAAGCGAUUUGGGAGAAGAGAAGAGAAGCUUCAGAUGAGUAGAUAUGGCAAUGUCUGUGAGAGAGGAGAUGAGAAGUUGGAAAGCGAAGAGAGCAGGUUUUGGGUUUGGAUCAUUAAUGGGCCGAAGAAAUAAUAAUUUAAAAAGGCCCAAGAGCUAGUAUUAUUACGGUAUAUUUUUCUUUUUGUUUUACGUACUAAAACGUUUCUAAUAUGUUUUUUUUAUUAACCAAGAAACUGUAAAGUUUCCUCAUAAAAAUUGUAGAAUUUUCAUAUAUAUGUUUGUUAGUAAUACUGUAUAUGUAAUUAAAUCAUUUUUUUUUGUCCAAUUGCACCACCAUGCUUUCCAAAAACCAAGGUAUUACAGUUUCUAAUUUUGUAAUUCUUAAACCAGGGAAAUGGUCUUUUAAUUAUCUUUACUUUUGCUCGUAACAUUCUUAACUUUCCCACGAAAAUCAGAAUUUUGAAAUAUCCAGUUAACUGUUAAGCCUCUCUGUUGUCUCCUAAGCAUUACUCUGUGAGUCUAUCUUCCCCCUCCAACGGAUUUUCAGUUUAUUAAAUGAAAUUUCUGAAUGUUGUGAAGAAUAUAUAGUAUUGAUAUCUUUUAUCAAAAAGGAGAUAUAGUAUUUGAUCAUGUUUAUGUCUUUUUAUAUGAAGAUUUACGAUUUCUGAGUCCGAUUCCUCUUGACUCGUGCGGAUGCCUCUAUUGUUUUUAGUAGAAUUAUACCAUACAUAUUAUUUUUUUUGAUAAUCAAUUAUACCAUACAUAUUACAUACGGCCUUUAAAAGGAAAAAGCGUUUUCAUCCAAAUUAUUGAGAAUGCAUGGUCCUUCCAUGACAACUGCAUACUUUGCAUAAAGAUAUAUAUAAAUCAUUAGGAAGAAUGUGACAAAAAACAAAAGAAAGAGAAGCGAAGAAAGAAGGGCUUAUAAAGAUGAAUAUGCUUUCUUUUAUGUGGGUUAAAGAAAAAUUUUAUGCUUUCUUUUAUGUUUUAAAAACUUUUUCUUAAAGUUGCUGCAAUUUUCUAAAAAUUUACCAAUCUAUUAAUGUUUUUCUUUAACUGUUUUGUAAUGAUAAAUUGUUUUUAUUAUUGUUUUCAAGGGUAUUUGUAAAAUGGAUAAAAGGUCUUCUUUGAUGUUGCUUUUUGCUACAAAAAUUGACUUUAACAGUAUGAAUUCUUGUUUACUUCUUCCGUUUCUCAAUAAAUAUCAUUUUGACACUAUUCACACAGACUAAUAAAGUAGCGGAAAUAUAUGUAAAUUGUUACUAUCUCUGUUCCCGAAAGUAAGAUUUUCUAAAGUGUUCACGCUUAUUAAGAAUUCAAUAAAUGUUUAUAAUUUAUUUUUUCUUUUACUUUAUUAUACACUUUUCAAUAACUUUUCACCAAUGAAAUUUAAUCAAUUCAAAUAUUUUCAUUUAAUGUUUCUUAAAAGCAUAAAAAGUACCUUAAACAUAUAGAAAAUCUAUAUUUGUGAAACAAGUAAAAAAUCUAAAACAUCUUACUUUGGAGAACGGAUGAAGUAUUAAUUAAAUCUUUCCGACCAAUAGUAUUUGAGAUAAGUAAAAUUAUUUAUAAAACCAAUGCAGUUUGCAAUUAAUUUUCAGCUGAAAUUAAGUAUAAUUUGCAUUGUAAUUGUAAAGUGAAUUUUUUUAUGUAACAAAAAAAAGAUAGAAUGACACUUAUUAUGAAACAGAGAGUAUAUAACAACUGAUUUACACUUUUACUUAGAAUGGUUAUCGAGAAAAACGAAACACUAAGUGCUUAGUUUAUGUAUGUAAGUUAGUUACUCCCCUAAUUUAUGUUUAGUUAACAUGGAUUAUGAAACUGAAACUAUGAUUAAAGCUAUGUGAAAACAUAUAUGCACACAUCUAGUCUGACUCUUCCAAAUCGAAAAAGAUGUUUCAUCUGUAUUCUUCGAAAAAACUUAUAAAGCAGUGACUUAAUAUGACAAUAAUAUGUAAUUUAGUGACUGAUUAAUUAGGAAUAUCGGAGUAAUUGUAAAAUUACGUACUUAGCUAAGUUGUAUAAUAUGACUAUGCUAGUUAUAAUAAAAUGUGUUUUUACUAGCUAGCAUAGUCAUAUUCAUACAACUUGACUAAGUUAUAUGCAAUACUGUAUUCGAUUAAUACAAAUAAAACAGAUUUACUAUUAAGGAAUAGACCCUUUUUCUUGUCUAUAAUGCAUACGUAUGUUAUAUGUCUUAUCUAAGUUCAUUUGGUGAUAUAAUAACAUCGAACUUGGUCGAGCCUGUCUUAAGAAUGCUGUUUACUACAAAUCAACGGGUUCAAAUAGCAACGCAUGACAUGAAUGCAAUGCAUCUUAAUCGAAUAUAAUUGAUAUGGGUUUGGAAUUCAAAGUGGGAAUGAUGCAUACCUAAGACGUACUUUCACUUCACUAAAACCAAAGAAGAAUAAAAUGAUGAAUUAACUUAAAAGUGGGGAAAAAACGAAAGAUUCUUUAGUAAAAGCCAAUUAGUGCAACCCUUUAACAAAAAAGCCAGGCAAUGGAUUGUAGUAGCAGACAUUAAAGACGGGUUAUCUUCUUUUUUGACCAUUUGAUGAUAAUCUUAACUACACAACUCUACCAGGUCAAAUGACUGAAGAAUCCUAUGCAAAAUGCAACGUGUCUGUAGACACGUACCCACGCUUAUACUCACUAGAAUGAAUGGUGAGUAACAAACAAAUCUUCAUGUAAGGGAACAGUAUAAAAAUGCUCUGCCGCGAAACAUCCAUUUGUGACAUAAAUUCCAAAACGAACUCGGUGAGCUUGUCAUUCAGGUAUUUAGUGACAACAUAAUUAUUAUUCUCUGGUAACUAUUCAUAUUCUUAAAGAAAGGAACUCAAGAUAUUUUUCUUUUCAAUGUGGUGGUCAACUCAUCAUACCUAUAAUAAUAUAUGCUUCAGUUUAUCCCCCGUUGAAAAUUUCAAAUCUCAUGGUUAUUCACUCUCUUUUUGAGCCAUUGGAUUUUGAUGUGGUCCAUGCAUGCAUCUACUCAUUUCAAACACUUUUUCUUACUCAUUUCAAACACUUUUUCUUACUCAUUUCAAAUACUUGCUAGAAUUGUUGUUUGGUUUGACGUAAGAAUCUCUAUCCCUAGCUAUACUAAAGUUUAUAUAAGAUUAAUUGCAUCAUAUGAUUUGCAUACAAUUUGGAUUUGCUGUCGCAAAUCUCAUCGUCUUGUACGGUCAACAACUCAAGUGCUUCAAACUUAGAUGAGAAUCGACAUUGCGGGAUAAGAGAGUAAUAGUUUAUCAAAAAUAAGGAUGCAUUGAUUAAAACAAACGUACACAGUAGGAGAUCGAUAUCAGAAGUCAGAACAAAGAACUUCCGAUUUUUCUUAUUAGCUUAUAGUCUAAACAUAACCAGACAAAGGUCCUACGAAAUACGAAACGAGUCAAAUCGAGAAAGAAAAACACAAAUAACGACAAACAGGGUCGUUAUCUUGCUUCCAUUCUUCAGUAGUUUUAUCUCUUCUAGUGCAGGCUGCAUAAAAAAGCCAAAGUAUAUGUUAAAUACUGUUUCAAUCAUGAGGUCUCACGUUUUAAAAUUUAAAAUGAAAACUUGUAUUCACGUAAUAAAUUUAGACCCAAUAUACAUGGGGCACGAAACAAUAACUUAUUUUGCAUAUGUUCUGGAUUGGGUCUGGUUAGUUUCUAUAUAUGCCACCUUUUGUCAACGUAUAUAUAGCACACUAGCAUAUAAACCAUGAGAGAUUGUUGUGGCUUGAGAGUAAACUUUUGGAAUUAUUAGAAAUGAAAUUUAUUGAAGAAAUAACAAAUAACCAAAUUUACUUGAUCAAGAUGAUGAAGAAAGUUAGGUCUAGUAGGGUGGAUUGGUGGCAGGUUCCUUUGGGGCGUUGCACCUGAAACACUCUGACCUGCUUGCGAAGUUAUGUUCAUUGCAGCCUGACCUAUACAUACAAAACCAAUCAGCUUCUACAAUCUUCUUAUACAUAUACAAACAUGAAUGAAUAUAAAUACUAAUAUUCUAAAAUUGUCCUCUUAGCUUACGAAGCCUGCGCGCGCAUGAAUUUAUGUAUAUAUAUUAUUACAUGGUGGAGACGCCCAUGUACAUUUUCAUGAACCAUGCACAUGAAACAAACAAAUACAAAAAAAAAAAAAAACAAACAAUACCUGGGGCAAAUCCAAUCUCCAGAUUUCCAAGAAGAGCGGCCCAUGCCUCCGCCACCACCACUACUGCUACCAAAUCCAAAAAGGCCACGUCUUGGACCAUCACUCAAGUCCAUAAACCCGGUGGCUAGAGCGGCAGCCGAGCGUGAAGACUCAUCUUUUGCGGCACCACACUUGAAACAGCUGGACCUGCUUGCAAAAUUGUGAGUCCCGCAAUUUCCAAGGUUGCAGUACCAAUCACCGGGUCUCACGUCAGGCCCGGUAUUGAAAGCAAAAGCGUUGCUGAUCGGGCGGCUUGCGAAACUGCUGACUAAGUCGGUAAUGCUUCUCGGUCUGGGCUCUCUGCAUCGUUGGCAUGACUCCCUUCUUUGGAAGUUGAGGUGGCUACACGAUAGGCAGUUCCAGUCUCCUGGCCUAUUCAUCUUCUUCUAAUCCCCCAUAGAUAAACAAAUGACACAAUAUUAAAGGUAUAUAUAUUCACAAGUGUAGCCUAAUAUUUGAUGAUUACCUGGGGAUGUUAGCUGAAAACAGUAAGGAGAGUAGAAGUGAUAUUUUGGUGUUAGAGCGUAUAAGUGUGAUAUGUCCCCAUAUAUAUAUACAUCGGCAAAGCAAAAGGUUCUUCUUUAUCAACCGGGAACAUAUUUUGAAGUGAAAAUAGGGUUUCAAAUGGUUUUAACUUUCUUAUUUUUGUUUCAGCUUUAAUGCAUUUCCUUUAGAGCAUCUCCAAAAUGGAACUCUAUUUUGAAGUUUCCAAAACUUUAUAUUUGAAGUUUCAAUGUGUUCUUCUCCAAAAGUAAAACUUCAAACCUAACUUCAAAAUUAUUUAUAUUUUACACUAUGAUCCUUAUGUUUGUCAUAGUUGAUGUAAAUUCAUAAAACUUCUAUAAAUAACUAAUACAUAUAUAUAAAUAUUACAAAAAUAUUAAUUAAAAAAAAAUCUUACACUAAAAUAUAAAAUUAUAAAUAAAAGUACAUAAUUAAAUAUUAAACUGCAAGCAAAUAUUACAUUAUUGCAUAAAAUUAUUUCCAUAAUGCUCCCAUAUAUGAUCAACUAUUUCGAAGUAAGAAAUGAUUCUCUUUAUUUUUUAUUUGUAGAUUACGAGCCAAAAAUUGUUGAAACCGGAUAUCCUCAUAAUAUGUCUGCUGAUAGUUUGAUAUCAUCAAACGAAAAAAAUCCUUGAUCUUUUAAACGAAAGUACAACAAGCAGGGAAAAAGGUCAUGAGAUGAUUGAAUUACGACUGCAAAAUGAAGCAAAAAAGUUAGCUUUUAAAGAAAUAAAAGAGGAAAAUAAAAUAUUGCUAAAAAACUUAGCUUCUAUCGAUGACGUUAAUAUUCGUGAAUACAUUCGAUCUGAACAAGAAAGAAUCAUACGAAAAAUGCGUCAAGAGCAACAACAACAAUCAUCUUCGGUUACACAAAAUUUGUUGAACAAUAUUUUGGAGAUUUUGGAGGUUCCGGAGCAAAUUUACCAGACUAUUAGUGUUGUUAUAAUAUUUAAAUUUGAGUAAUAAUUAUGUCUUCAUGUGUCUUUUUAAUAAGUUUUUAUUAUGGUUUUUUGUAAUAUUCUUGUUGUUUAAUUCUAGUUUUAAAAUAUUAUAAAUCUUGUUUUAAUUUUUUUUAUUUAAUUUCAUGUGUAAAACUUAAGUUUAUAUAACAAAUUUGAAAUAUUUAUGAGAUAUAAAAGUUUUAAGGAUUAAAACAAUAAACAAAAAAAAUAUUUAAGAAUUAUAAAUAUGAUGUAUAAUUGUAAGGACCAAAAUGCAAAUAAAAAGAUGAAACUUCAAAUUUGAAGUUUUGAAAAGUGAAACUCUAUAUUUGGAGUUUCACUCUUCAAAACUUCAAAUUUGAAGUUUUGAAGUUCCUUUUUGGAGAGCAAAAAACUCUAUAUUUGGAGUUAUAGAGUUUCUUUUGGAGAUGCUCUUAGAGUUGGGUUUCUCCGUAAACUACGUUUUCCCAAAAGAAACAAAAGAUUAUCCAUACAUAUCGAGGACUUUAAAAUAUCAAUUUAAGACCCCACUAGUUUAAAGCUUCCAAUAUCAGCCGUUUUAUUAUGCUUGUGCUUCACAAAAGUUAUUACAUAUAUAGUGAUAAAAUCAAUAUUCACAUAGUUGUCAGAUGUGUAUUAUCAUAUACAUCAAUAUUAUACUCAUUUUUAGACACCCAAUUGUUUUUAAAUUGAUGACUAUAGUCUAUAUAUGUAGUUUGCAUCAUAUACUGCGUGUAUGAGUUGUAAACAAUCGAAAACAUGUUUGAAACUUAUGUUGAUAAUCCAAAUUGCGUAACUUUCUUAAAAUCCGCCGAUUCAACUAGGUUCAUGAUCAUGGGUGGAUAAUAAGGUCUCGUGCGUGUGUCAGUAGUAAAAAGGAUGCCUCAAGAAGAAAAGAAAAAUCUAAAGCAAAAGUUGCAUGGCAACAGUUUCAAGAACGUAUUGCUUCCAUAUAUAAACCGCGGAAAUUAAACAUUAAAAGAAUAUUUACUUCUAGUAUUUUCAGUAAGUGUUAUCUCCAUUUUUUUUCUAGCAGUAUCGAGUUACUCGUGUAUCCCAUCAGAACGUGUUCGCGAUUCUCAGCCAAAACCCAAGAAAACAACAUCAAAUAUAUAUAUAUANNNNNNNNNNNNNNNNNNNNNNNNNNNNNNNNNNNNNNNNNNNNNNNNNNNNNNNNNNNNNNNNNNNNNNNNNNNNNNNNNNNNNNNNNNNNNNNNNNNNUUUUUUUUUUUUUUUUUGAUAUUUCAUAUAUAAAAAACAUAUUUUUGAGACCACAAUGUUUACAGUACUUUGAUUACCUCCACAAAAUAUUCUAAAUAAAUCAUCCCCUGUAUAUUAAUCAUGGAGCAUUAUAACAUGUUUUCGUAGCCAAGUGUCAUCACGAGAAUGAUUCUUAGAAUUGUUAGAAAAAUAAGUUGGUCCAUAUAAACAUAUAUUAUGUUUUUCAUUAAACUAACUAUUAAAUUAAUUAAUAGUGUACAAAAUAAUAUAUUUUUUUUCUUAAAUAAAAGCUACGGAUUUACCUAAUAUGGUAAACAUAUAUAUGACAAUUAAUGAUUAUGAAUAAUACAUAUUUGAUUAAAAAAAAGUCUAACAUCUCUCACUUUUGUUUAAUUUUAUACUAUUAAAAGAAAUUAAACAAUCACAUUAAGCAUAUAAUAAAAAAAAUUAGAUUUUUUCUUAUACGUUAUAUUUUGAAUUUUUAAAAACGAGUAUAAAUUACUAAAUGGUAAAAGUCUCACAUUGAAAAUUUUGUGAUUAAUGGUUUUAUUUUAUUUUUUCUUCAAGCAAGAUACAAAUGAUCAUAUAUCUUAGGUGUGGGCGUUCAGAAACAUGUUCGAGUUUGUAUCGGAUAUUUCAGUAUAAAGGUAUAGAACCCGUUCGAGUAUUUCUACACUUCGAGUCGGGUUCGGGUAUUUUAUGUUCGGGUUCAGAUAUUUUGGGUCGGGUUUGGAUAUUUAAAUUUUGAAGAAAAAAUAAAUAAAUUAUUCAUUUUUUAAGUUUAUGUAUUUAAAAUAUAUUUAACUUAACCAGUUUUCUAAUUUUUAAAAGGUUAAACUAUUAAAAGGUUUGGAGACAAAACUUUAAAAAUAGAAAGACACUAAUUUAGUUGUUGUUUUUAGAUUUUAGAUUCAAUUUUUGUUAAUGCAAGAAACAAGAGUUUGAUAUGUAUUUUAAGUGAAUAGCAAAUGAUUUUGUCCAUAAUUAUAUGUAUAUUAUCUAAUUUUGAGCAAUAAACAUCAUUAAUAUAAAUAUUUUGAGUAAAAUGAGAGAAAUAAACUAUAAAUAUAAGGUUAAGUAUACUUAUGUUUGGUUAUCUUCGGAUAUCCAUUCGGGUUUGGAUAUUACUCGUUCAGAUUCAGAUAUUACCCGAACGGGUGAAAUAAGUAAUUUUUUUUGUUGUUCUAGAAUUAGAUGAUUUUUAGACUGAGCUGAUGAAUAUAUACUAGACAUAUGUUUAUAUUUCAAGUCUGCACGCAUAUUCUAUAACAGCUUGAUAUAUUAGAUUUGAACAAAGUUUGCCGGUGAUUUUGUUUUCAAAAUUUUGAUUCUUAGAUAUGAAUCUGGAAUAAAACUAAUUUUUACAUAUGUCCAUUUUUUAAAUUGACACAUAUGUAAUUCACCGAAUUCAUAGAAUAAGUUGAAAAAAAAAACUUAACUCAUAUCAAUGAAAUAAAGAACAGAACGAAAUCACAAUUUUAUAGAGGUAGAAAAUGAAAUCAGUUAUAGAUAGUCAAUAGUAAACAAAUUGGGAGAAGAAAACCUAAUCCUCUUUCGUCAUCAUACAAUCAAUGUUGCCUAUUUGGUUUCGGUGAUUUGUGUCAGCCGCAAAACUUAAUUUUCUUUUGUGCAUAUGAAGUCUUAAAAAUAAUUAAAAUGAGAUGUAAUACGUUCACUCUUCAACAACGAUGAUAUAUUAAAGAGACCAACAUUACACACCCUCACUCCUAGAUUCGCCUUUAUAUAUUUAUUUUGAAAAUUUUCAAUUUGUUUCUUUUACUAGUAAGAAACCAAACGAUGUAUCGCAGCGUGUGUGUUUCAUCAAGCCUCUUUUCUGUUGAGUAAUUUCCAAAUUUGAUGAUAACAAAACGUUACAAAAGUAUUUGCAUGGUUUGGGCUAUUUCUAGAUACAAAAUUACUUGCAGAAGGUCACACACUGUUACGUUAGAACUCUGAAACAUAGAUCUCGAAACUAAAUUUCAAGUUUUAGUUUGAACAAUCAAAUUGGUGUUUAGUUUGAACAAUCAAAUUGGUAGUAUUGGGUUUGGUGCAUGAUUUAUGUCGACCCUUUUGGAUAAGGCCCAUAUUGUUCAAUGUGACGGAUACACCAAGUUAUUAACACUGAAUACAUCUGUGUACACACUCAUUCUCCUACCAUGGAUUAAAAAACAUAAAGUCGAAAAUAGUAAUGAAAACGAAUGUAUUGGUAAGCCAUAAAUGAGUUGGUUGUUCGUUUUAGUUUUCUCUUAAGAAAAGUCCACACGAAAGUUACGAUUGCCAUAUCUUCACUGUCCCUUUUGGUUUGAUUUUUUGAAACUUUUCUCGAUCGAAGUGAAAAAUUUCAUGGCCACAUGACACCUAAAUCCCGUCAAAACAUGCUGGAGACCGUCCUUCAUUAAUGGUAAGUUGAUUUGGAUAGACAUAAUUGAUUUUUAAAUAGGGAAGUUACCAUAACUCUAAGAGAUUGAUCAAAAAGAACAUACUCUCAUGUACAGAGAUGUUUGGUCCAUCGCAUUACGGAUAUGUUCUUUGGAAUCGACUGAUGGAUAGAAAAUGGACAUGCACCAAGCUGGGAGAACACAUCAAAAAGUCUCAAGUAAAACAGAGGAAAAUUAUAAACACUCUCCAACACAUAAGGAGUAUGUUAACGAAUAAAGAUAGGGCUAUGCAAACUCUUUGUGCAAUAUUCAAAACCACGUGCCGACUUAUUAUUGAUUGAUGCUUUGUACAUGAAAUUGAUCUCCAACAUUCUCUAUUCUCUUAUAUUAUAAGUUAUACACUCUCGUAUAUAUUAAUCUUGGAGCAUUACAACAUGUUUUCGUAGCCACGUAUCAUUACAAGAAUUAUUCUUAGAAUUGUUAGAAAAACAAGUUGGUCCAUAUAAACAUAUACUAUGUUUUUUAUUAAGCUAACUAUCAAAUUAAUUAGUAGUAUAAUAAAAGCUACGGAAUUACCUAAUAUGAUUAACAUAUGUAUGACAAUUAAUGAUUAUGAAUAAUACAUAUUUGAUAACAAUUUUUCUAACCUCUCUCUCUUUUAUUUAAUUUUAUACUAUUAAAAGAAAUUAAACAAUCACAUUAAGCAUAUAAGAAGAAUUUACAUUUUUCUUAUAUGUUAUAUUUUGAAUUUUUAAAAACGACUAUAAAUUACUAAAAAUGGUAAAAGUCUCACAUUGAAAAUUCUGUAAUCAAUGGGUUUAACUUUUUUUUUGUUCAAGCAAGAUACAAAUGAUCAUAUAUCGUAGGGGUGGGUGUUCGGAUAUACGUUCGGGUUCGUAUCGGAUAUUUCAGUAUAAAGGUAUAGAACACGUUCGAGUAUUUCUACACUUCGAGUCGGGUUCAAGUAUUUUAUGUUCGGAUUCGGAUAUUUUGGAUCGGGUUUGGAUAUUUAAAUUUUGAAGAAAACAUAAAUAAAUUAUUCAUUUUUUAAUUUUUUGUAUUUAAAAUAUAUUUACCUUAGCCGGAUUUCUAAUUUUUAAAAGGUUAAACUAUUAAAAGGUUUGGAGAUAAAACUUUAAAAAUAGAAAGACACUAAUUUAGUUGUUGUUUUGAAAUUUUAGAUGCAACUUUUCUUAAUGCAAGAAACAAGAGCUUGAUAUGUAUAUUAAGUGAGUAGCAAAUGAUUUUGUCCAUAAUUAUAUGUAUAUUAUCUAAUUUUGAGCAAUAAGCAUCAUUAAUAUAAAUAUUUUGAGUAAAAUGAGAGAAGUAAACUAGAAAUAUAGGGUUAGUAUACUUAUGUUUUGUUAUCUUCGGAUACAGUGGUGGAGCCAGCCUAGUUUUUUGAGGAGGGUCAAACUCUUAAUUUGUAUAUAUUACAUGGGUCAACAUACCCACAAUUUGUAAAAUUUUCCUUAUUUUUAGUACAAAUUCAUGUAAUUUUUUUUUAUGUUUUAAAAUCAUGUGGGUCAUUUGACCACCCUCCUAACCAGCUACCUCCGCCACUGUUCGGAUAUCCAUUCGGGUUCGGAUUCAGAUAUUACCCGAACGGGUGAAAUAAGUAAUUUGUUUUGUUGUUCUAGAAUUAGAUAAUUUUUAGACCGGGCUGGUGAACAUAUACUAGACAGACGUUUAUAUUUCGAGUCUGCACAUAUAUUAUAUAACAGCUUGAUAUAUUAGAUUUGAAUACAGUUUCCGGUGAUUUUAUUUUUAAAAAUUUAAUUUUUAGAUAUGUAUCGGGAAUGAAACUAAUUUUUACAUAUGUCCAUUUUUUAAAUUGACACUUAUGUAAUUCACCGAGUUCAUAGAAUAAGUUUUUUUUUUGUCAUCAGAAUAAGUUAAAAAAAAAAACUUAACUCAUAUCAAUGAAUGAUAUGAAACAAAGAUCAGAACGAAAACACAAUUUUAUAAAAGUGAAAAAUUAAAUCACUUAUGAAAAGUCAAUAGUAAACAAAUUGGGAGAAGAAAACCUAAUCUUCUUUUAUCAUUAUACAAUCGAUGUUGCCUAUUUAGUUUUGGUGAUUUGUGUCAGCCGUAAAACUUAAUUUCUUUUAGUGCGUAUGAAAUCUUAAAAAUAAUUAAAAUGAGAUGUAAUAUGUUUCCUCUUCAACAACGAUGAUAAUUUCCUUUAGUGCGUGUAAAGAACUAUUAAAACAAUUUCCUUUAGUGCGUAUAAAGAACUAUUUUUCGCUCACUUAUUUAGUUUAAUAGAAGGAUAUCAAAUGUUUUUAAUACAAUAUCAUAAUUAUACGAAACAUAUGGUCAUUGUUUUAAUUAUAUGGAGCCUGUCGGUCCAUUAAUAUAACAAAACUGUGAGAGGAUGUAUAACUAUAAACUUUCAUUAAAUGGUCGUUUUGUUAAUUGAUUGAUGUCAACUGUAUAUAUGUGCGUUUCCUUACCCUAAAUUCGAAGUGAUAACUGCAUAUUUUUUUGAUACAGGAGAUGAUUUUCUUUCGUACGUAACUUUAAGUAUAAUGUAACUACACCGAACAGAAAAACAGGUGAAAUUAAACACACAUGUCCACACAUGGACAGAAGGAGCAUUUAAAGUAAAGGAAAGUGGUGGUUAGAGAGUAUGUGAUAUAAUUAAUCGGCCCAAAUAGAUUGGUAAGUGUUAGCCGCCAUGCUAAUAACUUCAACCUCAGAUCUUUCUACUAAAACCAUUUUAUUAUAAAUUCUACGUACACUCCCACUUCAUCUCCUCAAAUUCAUCAAAACACACUACAAGAAAAUGUUGACUCGUCUCCCUUUGAUAUGUUUUCUUGUUUCAGUCACGGCCAUUGCGGCUGACUUAACACCGGAGCGUUAUUGGAACACUGCCUUACCAAACACUCCCAUGCCAAACUCUCUCCGUCAUCUUUUCACGCCAGGUUACUGUAAAAUCUUUUUACUUUAUAUAUGUUUUUUCUAUGUGUCCCAAGCUGAUUGGUUACACAAUCUCUGAUAGUUUGUGAUUAUGUAUGUUAAGAACAUCUCCAAACCAUCUUUAUAUAUGUUUGUAUGAACAUUUAUAAACAAAUUUGUUUCAACAUACACUAUAUGUUCUCUUUAAAUGUAAACAUUUUUUUUUCUCUGUAUGUCAAAAUAAAAUUUAUUUAUUUUUCAGUAUAAAUAAAUAUUAAUUUAGAAAAUACACUAAAGUAAAUAUUUACAAUUCAAAAAAUAUUUUUAUUUUAUUUUAGAGGAAAAUAUAACAAAAUAUAUAUUGUAGAUUUCACUGAUGAGAAGAGCACCGACGUCCAAGUAGGGAAAGGAGGCGUGAACGUUAACGCCGGAAAAGGCAAACCCGGCGGAGGAACCGCCGUUAACGUUGGAAAAGGAGGUGUGUACGUGGACACAGGCAAGGGCAAGGGAACACACGUGAGCGUUAGCGGCGGAAAAGGUCCUGGAGGAGGCGUUGGAGUCCACACCGGACAGCCUGGAAAGAGAACCGACGUAGGAGUUGGUAAAGGCGGAGUUAUAGUGCACACGCGACACAAGGGCAGGCCGGUCUACGUCGGUGUAACGCCAGGACCAAACCCUUUUGUGUAUAACUAUGCAGCGAGCGAGACUCAGCUCCACGACGAUCCCAAAGCGGCUCUCUUCUUCUUGGAGAAGGAUAUGGUUCCUGGAAAAGCUAUGAACCUCAGGUUUAAUGCGGAGGAUGGUUACGAUGGUAAAACGGCGUUCUUGCCACGUGGGGAGGCGGAAACGGUGCCGUUUCAGUCGGAGAAGUUUUCGGAGAUUUUGAAUACUUUCUCGGUGAAACCAGGUUCGGAGGAAGCUGAGAUGAUGAAGAAGACUAUUGAGGAGUGUGAAGCGAAAAGAGUUGGGGGAGAGGAGAAGUAUUGUGCGACUUCUUUGGAGUCUAUGGUCGAUUUUAGCGUUUCUAAACUUGGCAAAUAUCACGUCCGUGCUGUUUCCACUGAGGUAACAAACACUUCUCUUCUUUUUAUGGUUUAUUAUUACGUUUAGGUUUGACAUAAAUCAAAUAAAGUCAAAACUGAAUGAAAUUAAUAUUUGUAAUUAGGUUUGGUUACGUUUGAUUAGGUUAAAUUUGAUGAGGUUUGGGUUGUAUACUUGUGUCUACUUUAUCUCCGGUUAGGAUUCGGUUUUAGCUAGUAAAUGAUUCAUUCAACAUCGUACAUCUUGUUUGCUUAAAAUACUAUAUUAUAGAAGAGAAAUAAAAGUUAAAAACUACUUUUUAUUUUAUAUUUGGGUUUGAGUUUAGUGAUUAGAAUUUAGGGUUUAAUAUAAAGUAGAAGGCAAGAUUUUGAUAAAAUUUUAAAGUUUGGAGUAACUUAAUCAUUUCACUCUUUAAUUAAUGUUAUUUUUGAGAUUUUUUUUGUUUGUGUGCUAUUUUUUCAUAAUUGUUUUUUUGUGUUAUUUAAAUCAUGUGCUCUGUAUAUAAGUAAGUGAACAUAAAAAAAAAGAAAUUUAAGUCUGGUAUGAUUUGGUUUUACACUUUUACUUGGUUCAGUUUAGUUUCAUUUGAUUUAUAUGUCCACGCCUUGCUAAUACUCGAGUUAAUUGAUGUAACCUUGGUUACUACAGGUGGUUGAGAAGAAUGCACCGAUGCAAAAGUACAAAAUCGCAGCACCCGGAAUAAAGAAGUUGUCGGACGACAAGUCAGUGGUGUGUCACAAACAGAAGUACCCAUUCGCGGUGUUCUACUGCCACAAGGCGAUGAUGACGAGCGUGUAUGCGGUUCCACUCGAAGGAGAGAACGGUCUGCGGGCUAAAGCGGUUGCGGUUUGCCACAAGAACACCUCGGCUUGGAACCCAAACCACUUGGCCUUCAAAGUGCUUAAGGUGAAGCCUGGGACUGUUCCGGUCUGCCAUUUCCUCCCUGAGACCCAUGUUGUUUGGUUCAGCUAUUAGAUAGAUAUGCUUUCAUAUAUUGUGGCUUAUGUAAUAAAUAAUAAUGCCGUCCCUUCCAUAUAGUCAAAGAAUUAAGACAUAAGUUUUCACUUUGCAUGGUUUGUCUUCUGUGGCCUGAUUCAUUCUUCUUUUGCAAGAAUAUACUGUAUGAUAAUAAAACUAGUCUUCAAAUAUUAAAAGAGCUCGUCCGUAGAAAACGGUAAUUUUCGUAAUGGGCCCAACGUUGCCAGAGUAACAUGAAAAGACCCCAAAGAAAAGAGAAAAUGUCAGAAGUGGGAUGUGAACCCACGCCCUCUUACGAGGACCAGAACUUGAGUCUGGCGCCUUAGACCACUCGGCCACCCUGACUGUUGUAAUUUAUUUGAAAUUACGGAUAAAUCUAAUCAAACAUAAGUAUAAAAUAAUAUAUUGAAAGAGCCUAAAACAUCUAGAAUGAAUGAACACAACUGAAUCAAACAUAUACAAAGAAACUUAACUUACCAUUCUGCUCCCAAGUCCAAAACCCUCUUAACUAAAUCAAAAGCUUGGUCUAUCAACCAACAUCCAAAAUAGACGAAACGAUGUUGUCUCCUAUAAAUGCUUUUACCACAUCUCAAAACAUUGGUUUUUAGCAGAGAGCUGAGUUCCAAGUCACUCUUUGUCUCAUCCUGUUUUUUGGCACUAGACUUCCACAGUACAUGGUUGGUUUCUUAUACUGUAGUAUCAAUUCAUUUAACGUAUGGUCAAAUAUGAAAAUAUCUCCAUCUCUGGUCCACUUUAUCUCAAAACGUAGUUUGAAUCACAUACCACAAGUCGAGUAAAAUCCUUGUACAUUUGCUAUUGUUUUUUUUAAUGAAAUUUUCACUUGACCAUAUGGUGCGUGUAUGAUGAAGUCAUCCUAAUGAAUAUCACCCACUUGUAGUAGCAAUGUAAAGCUAAAUACAAUACCAAGCCAUUGAGUCUCUUCUUUGAUAAAAGCUUUACAGAAGGUUGUUGGUGUAUUUACGAGGGAACAGAAUUGUUUUGAGACUUAAAUGAGCGUUGGGCCUUGGCCCAUUUGGAGUCUCCACUUCACUAUUACCAGUUCAAAUAUGUAAUGUGUACUUCCAAAAAAUAUAAAUUAUAAAGUAAUGAUGAUUUAUUAUGCAUUUUGAAAUAAAAUGUAUAUAAUUGAAUUUUGCCAUACAUUGUGAUUUCUUGUUAAGCUUUUGUAAACUGAUGAUCGUGUAUUAUUAUAAUCAUAUACUAGAUGUAAUUUAAAUGGUUUUAGUGAUUGUCAAAAAAAAAUUGGUUUUGGUUUGCCAUGUAGUAUUCCUCGAACCAACCACAUAAACUAACGACUCAAGAGUGACAAAGGAGACAUGUUUUAACGGAAAACGACUAGAACUUAUUACAGAAUAUGCCAGCUAACAAGCGCUCAGCUGGUUAAUACUGAACAAGAGAUGAGACUCGAGAGAUGAGCCCUCGAUUGAAGGAGCCAAUGACACUAUGGACUCAAGUACAUUGCUCUUAAAAUUGCAUCUGAUAGCAAACCAACUUUCAAAAUCCUGCUUCGGUUCAGCCUCGGGUUUGGCGAGUGUUGUAUGAUUUGCAGUCUGGACAUUUCUGAGCCACCACAUGGUACUGCACCUCCGAUUUUUUCCCACAGUCGUUGCAGAGGAUCUGAACCUGUUUUGUGUCCAUCAAAUGAUUUAGUUAUAUAUAAUCUGAUGAUUUUGAAUUCUUUACUUGGUUGAGCCUGAGGUGUAAUAAGAGUAAGUUUAGACUAACCAUUUUGUUCUGGUAUGGUUCUGGCAUUGGUGUAGCAGCAAUCUCCACGUCAAAUUUCUCCCACACCUUUGACAUGUCGCAUACAGAUUUUGAGCAAAGCGGGCACGCGUAUCUGCAGAGCACAGUUUACAGUGUUGUCAGUUGAAAGACAGCUACAAAUAACAACCCUGAGUUAUUUAUUACACUUACUGGUAAUGUUCUCUCAUUUCCUCCAAACACUUCUGAUGGAUGGUGUGUCCGCAGGGCAAAACUGUUACAUCGUUCCUUGAUUCAAACAGGUACUACAACAAAACCAUUAUUGCCGUUUUGUUUAGAGGGAUGCUCAAUUAGUGGAAGAAAAAUUGAAAGAAAAGAUACCUCAAAACAAAUGGGGCAGUCGUGAUGCAUUGCUCCUUCAACACAAGGGUGGCUGUUCUUGAGAAGGAUUGAGUAACAACAGCCUGGUUGAUAGUCAGAUUGUACAAGUCAAGAGAUUUAGUGGUGGCCAGCGUAAAAAAGUUCGAGGUUAUCUGAUGCAGAAAUUGGCUUACCACACUUGUAACAGUGAAAGAAAUUUUCAUGUCCGCCGAUUCUGGAACAAAAGAAGUAAAAAAGUUCCAAGUUAUGAACAAAUAUCUAACGUGAUAGAGUGAACAAAUCUUGUUGUAUGUUAAAGACGAGUCCAAGAACGUACCUGCAGAUUCCACAGCCGUCGCAGUGAUACUGCUUUUUAGAUGUCUGGAAACAAGAUAGAACAUAAUGGUUAACCAGCAGUAAUAGAGAAGCAAGAAAGAGAAAAUGAUCCAACAAUCAAGCUUAGGAAUAAAUUGUCUCAGGAAACUCACAUCAUCAUCGUAGAGCUUGCAGGCUUCACAGAAGUACUUCCCCAUGCACACUCCGCAGUUGGUACAAUUUUGGCGAACCUGGUGAAAACAGAGAAAACAGAGUUAAAUCUUCAAUAGAGUUGAGAAAAUGUUUGAUACCAUCCUAACUGAAACUUCUCAUUACUAAAAGCAGUAAACGUUCAGAAAAAGCAUAGAGUUUAGAACACACCUCUUGUUCAGUGCCACAGAGUAAGCAAAUAACCUGUGAAGACGAAGAUAGAGAUUCUGGAAUCAAGCAUAGAAGAAUAAACAUAGAGAAAACAAGGUAUUACAAACAACUUUACCUGUUCAACUUUCUGGCGAGGAAUAUCAUGACUCUGUUUCGGAUCUGCACUUAUAUUGUUCUGCUUCCAAGACAUGAUGAUUACACAUGUCAGCUUACAAAUCUAAUAAGAGUGAAAUCUAAAACCUGAAAUAAGAAACUCUACCUUUGCCUCAUAAUGACAGUGAUGGCAACCAAAGAUCUCAUCACAGCAAGGAGAUCUAAUGCAACACCUUCUUCUGUAAUGAGGACAUCUGCAAGAACAUUGGGAGAAAUUAGUUCAAGAGACACGCUCAGCUCUGGGGGAAUUCAAUGAGGAGGCAAAAAUUACCCAUGCUCCAUUAGUCCUCUGUCAAGGACUUCUUUUAAUGAUGACUCUGCCGCCUCGAGUUCGAGAAUCAACGACUCAGUUUCUUCAUUGCGUGAAUGAGGGCUGAGCAUCUCACUCUUCUCUCGGUCAGUCUUCUGUGGCUGCUCAACGAAAUGGUUGAAAUGUACCCUCUCCAUUACGAACUAUCUGUGAAUGAUACUGGCUAGCUGAUGGAAAAGCUUAUGUAACCUGCAAGCAAGAAAAGAUUUAGAACACAUAUUCAUCAUUUCCAAGUAAUAUGUCACCUGAAAAAACUGGAUGAACUGUUGCUUCCAUCUACAUUGCAGUAGACCAAUCCAAUCAUCACCAAGACAAUCCAGUUACGAAACGGCUCCAAUAAGCUUUCUCCAAGAGGCAAGUAACAUCAAAACAAGAAGAUUUACAAAGUAUAAAAACUAAACACAGCCCUCUUGGUUGAUGGAGCCUUCGUACAGAAAGAAAAGCUUAGCUCACUUCAGUUCUUGAAAUUCUGGGAAAACAUAUUCGGUUUAACCGGAUAUCCCCAACCUAUUGUAAAAGCAAGGUAAAGACUAUCAAACAACGUUUGGGACUGACGUAAAAAAAAUUGGAAUAACCGGGUUAAAAAAGAUGGGUCGGUGUCCAAAGAGGACAGACCUACCUCCCAUUGCCACUCUGCACCAAUAUUACUUCAGUAUGAAUCAGAAUUUUUUACUAAAGGAAUUAAAAGCCUGAAGAGUACUCUUUAGUUAUCAUCCAUCUUUGAAUCUGGCCUGAAGGAUGUACCAGUAACCAAAGGGACUAAAAAGACACGAGAACAUUCUACUAAGUUCACAAGCUCCAAAUGCUCUAAGGGAAACUCAAGGUGACACUUAGAUGAGACAACAGUGAGCAACCAGGACACUUUCUUCAAGAGCAACUACGAGGAACCUCUGUCCAUCCACUUUAGAUAAUAAACAGAGAAGGUUUAGGAGUUGCAUGAUCAAGGUAUGUAGGAUGAAGACAGCACAAGCACAAGUCUGGGUUAGCGAAGAGAAAGAGCAACACAAGAAGGAAUGUUUCCAAAGAAUCAAUACUUGUAGUAGAUCCAAGGCUCUCAGACUCUCACCUUGAAUCUCUGAGACACACACACAACAACUCCAACGAUGAUUCAUGAGCACGGUUCACCAAAUCCAAACACGUGUCAGAUAGAUUAUUAGGUCUAUGACCCAACCUAUUUGCAUUACCACCUAGAUUCUUGAAAACAAGAGUCUUAAGCUACAGCUUCUUCUGAACCAAAUCAAUCAAAGCUAAAAGCGUAUGAGAACAAUCAAUCACCAGAGAAAACAUCCAAGGGAACGAACGAACGAACGAACGAAGAAUCUAAAUCACGGAAACCUACAAAUAGAUAAAUUAAAAAUCACACACUACGAAAUAGAUCACGAACUUUCGAUCAGGCGAAUCUCCUUCCACCGAUUCGAUAGUCUCAGAGAGAGAGACGCUGCGAGAUUUUCCGACGGUUACUCCAGGAGCUCUGAGCGAGAAGCGAUUCGAUCUUAAGAGGAAACUUAAUGAGGACACCUUCUUUCCCUCCGCGUGUGGGGUGGUUUAUAUAGUGAGGCUUAGACUUUUUUCCAGAUACUUCGAAUUAUUGCCGUUUUCCGGCGCAAGCGAAAAUAUAUUUGUUCCUUUAAUUAUUUUUUAUUUGCUUUGUGUGUUGACAGCUAAAAUAUCUACCACCAUUCAUUUCCAUGAUUCCCCCCCCUAAGUUUUAAUAUCUUUUACCUCAAAAUGAAUAAUGUGAAGAGUGAAAAAUAAAUACAUUACACACGUCGCCAGCUAUUUUUCCAAACGUCUAAAUAAUAUUUAGAUUUCCACAACUGGAAUCAAUUAGUACAAUCUUUUCAACAGUUAAUGAAAAGAUUGCAUUUUUCAUUCUUUGUUUUUAGACGAAAAAACGUAUUUAGAAAAAAAUAUGUGAAUGAACUGAUAUUUUCACAUUAUUGCGUGGGAAAGGUUACUUACGUGUUGAACUUGAUUAACUUAUUGCGUGAGAUGGGGAUAGUGACGUGGCUUCUGAAUGAUUAGUUUGGAUUCUGAUUAGUUUACCUGUUUACGUAUUUACAAUACAUUCCCCUCCCUCAAGCUUAUCUUUAUGAUGUAGACACGUUAUCAACUCUUCUUCUCAAUCCUCUCCACCAAUACCAAUCACAUUUCCAUCUCAUAAAAAAUAAGUAGAUUUCUAUAGUUUGGGUGGCAAGACCGCAAUGUAUUUUAAAAUGUCUAGUGUUUAUUUGGUUAAAUUCGUGUGAUAUCCUAAUAUUAGUUUUGGUAUACUUUAUACACAAUUUUCUUUGUACGAUUUGUAUUUGAUUUGUUAAAAAGGAAAAUAUAUAUUUUCAAGUACUUAAAAAAAAAAAAGAUAGCGGACUUGCAAAUUAGUUAUCCUAUUUUAUAAGAAUUUGAAAUUAAAUAAGUAUAUUGUUUAUAAAGAAAUUAUAUUUAUUUUUUAUGCUUUACUCAAUGUUGGUCAAACUAAAUAUCCGAUUUUAUGUAUUAAGUAGAGAUCAAAUAGCAAGUAUGGACGGGGUAAUGGAAAAUUGUGCCCACUGCUAUGUAAAUUGGUACAAAAUGAUUUUUUGAGUAAUAUUUAUUUAUUUGGGUAACUGGUUUAACUCCGUCGAUCUAAUGGACCGGUGGAUCUGAGAUUGGUUUAGGGUGAACCGGAGAAAGAUGUUCAAAUUCUCUUUUUGUUCUGACAGUGAUACACCAAAGUCAGCCAUUUAUGAGUAGCCGGCCACGUCACCACACUAUUAACCGGGUCAAGGAUAAGAUAAAGACGUUUCCAAACAAGGCCCUACCGUGAUGCGACCUUCAAGUAAACGCUCGUUCUUUGCGAUUCCUCCGCUUACCAUAUAAAUACAGAAAAAAGUCCAUCAUUGACAGUUACGAUCGUCUCUCUUCUCCAACGCUUCCGAUCUCUUCUUUCGUUUCUGGUAAGCUCAUUUUCUCUCCAUCGUUUCUGCUUCUCCGUUGACUGCGAUUCUCGACGCGAUCGUAACGCUGUGCGCGCGCGCGCCUGUUCGUGUUCUCUUAGAUUCGAAUCAGUUCCGUUAGAUCAUACUUUUGUGAACGAAGAACGUUUGAGUUUCCGUGUAUGUAGUCUCGUUGAUUUGUGCGAUUUAUGUUAAUGUGAUGAUGCGUUAGGUUCUCGGCGUAGAUUAGUGUUGAUCGGUACCUAAGGCGUGCGUUAACAAGAGAAAGCUGAUCUUACUAACCUGUAACGAUAUGCCUUGUGUUUUCUUCGCCUACAUUGAUUUUGAUUGAUUGAUUGAUACCUAAGGCGGUUAACAAGAGAAACUGAUCUUAUUAGUGAUAUCAAUAUUGAUCUCUUGUGAAUUGUGAUCUUCUUGAUUAGUAUUUUGAGUUAGCGAUGAAGCCAGGAGGAUCAGGAUUGAAUCCGAACGCAGCAGCUUACGUACCAAUCUCCAAAAGAGACGGUGAUUCUGCAAAGCCUGCUGCAUCUGAGAAGCAGAUGAGUGAUGAGGAUUUGGAGAUGGACGUGGACAUUGAGUUCCUUUUAGCCACGUUCUCUGACUUGUCAUAUGAGUCUAUCAGUGAUGUGUACUUGGCUAACAAUGGUGAUCUGGAUGCUACUAUCGAAAUGCUGACUCAGCUCGAGGUGAUUCAUCUCACUAGUACACUUGAUUUACACUAGUGUAGAUUGUGAAGCUUAAGCUGUGUUACAAUUGAUGUUCCGAUUCUGCAGAUUUUCAGUAAUGAAGCUGAGGAAUACCUUCCAGACACACUUGACAUUGGUGAUGUACCUGAAACCAUCAAGCCUUCUACUUCAUCAGCUCCAAAGCAGACGAAUGCAAGUGCAUCAACAUCCUCCCGUGCCCCAAACGCUCCCUCUUCCUGAUUUGAUGAGUCUUUAAAUUUGAAGUUUUAUAAAACAUUCGUGUAAAGGAUGAUUAUAUGAUAUGAGGUUGAUGGGUUAUCUUAGGAGAUCUCUUUUCUAUAUUUUCCUGCCCCGAUGCUUUGUUACAUUGGAGAAAAAGAGAGAGUACAAUGUAUAGAUUUUUUGAAAAUAUCAAGUAUGAGUGUUGAGAAUUGGGAUUGUUCUUAUGGUGGACAAAGCUAUUAAUCAUUAACCUCUGAUGCUCUUUCGGCCAUUUUUAUUAUUUUUCUCUUCUUUUGCUCAUUGCGCUGCUAAAUAUUUUUGCAUCUUCUCUUCACCACAUGUUUGACGUAUGGAAUUGAUUUUGUUCUUUGGUAUAUUUCUAAUGUUUACAUCCAUUAACUGUAUCUUAACAAUGUUAAUGUUGUCUUUUUAUUUUUUCUCCCAUUAAUACAAGAUUUUAUUCCCCAGUAAGUUGUUCAAAGAUGGAAUCUAAACGUUGUCUGUGGGUCUGUAAUAAUUAAAUGAAUAAACGUGCAGCUACAUUUGCGGCCCUCUUCUCUCUCUCUCUAAGUAUUAUUAUUAGAAUCAUCUAAAAAUACCUCCAUAUACUUGCUCGAUUUGGUUUCUUCUUCUUUCCUUUUUCUCCUUUUUCAUCAUUCAUCUGGUGAUGCAGGAGAUCUGAUUGAUUUUUUUCUUCUGGGGUUUUGUUUUAGAGGAAGAAAGAAAUUCAAAAUAAUAAUAAAAAGAUGGGUUUGGAUUAUUACACCAUAUUGAAGGUUGACAAGAAUGCAACGGAGGAUGAUCUCAAGAAAUCUUACAGAAAAUUGGCUAUGAAAUGGCAUCCUGAUAAAAACCCUACCACCAAAACCGAAGCUGAAGCCAAAUUCAAACAGAUCUCCGAGGCUUAUGAGGUAACUUUUUUUCUCUUAUAAUCUUGUUCCUAAUCUUGAUUCCCUUAGAUCCCCAAAAUAUCCAAAACUGUGUGUGUGUAUGUAUGUCUUGUUGAGAUCCAUUCCUUUGACUAAUAAUGAGUUUCUUGGGACACAAGCAAAAUGUACCUCCUCAAAGCCUAUUUUCUGAGUGUGGGAAAACAUUUCAGGUUCUGAGUGAUCCUCAGAAGCGAGCAGUAUAUGAUCAAUACGGUGAAGAAGGACUAAGCGGUAUGCCGCCUCCCGGGAGCACAGGAAACAACGGAAGAGCAGGCGGGUUUAACCCUAGAGAUGCAGAAGACAUAUUCGCAGAGUUCUUUGGAAGCAGUCCAUUUGGUUUUGGAUCAGCUGGUGGUGGUCCUGGAAGGUCAACAAGAUUCCAAUCAGACGGAGGAGGAAUGUUCGGCGGAAACAACGGUAGUGAGAACAUGUUCAGGACUUACAGCGACGGCACUGUGCCUAAGAAACCACCACCCGUUGAGAGCAAGUUGCCUUGUAGCCUUGAAGAGUUGUACACUGGAUCGACAAGGAAAAUGAAGAUCUCUAGAACCAUUGUUGACGCUAACGGGUAAUCUUUGUUUCCAUUUUAUCGCAUUCACCCGUAAGAUCUUGAGGGCGGACUCUGAGAUUUUGGAGGUUAUAGAGAAUAAGAAUUUUAUUUAAAAUAAUUUGAAGUCUAUAUAUAUCUAUAGAAAUUAAUUUUUAAAAUUGUUUUUACUGGACUGUGUCUAGGACCGGUCUCAUGUGUUGUUUUGGAUGGUGAAACAGGAGACAGGCGCAAGAGACAGAGGUUCUAACGAUUGUUGUGAAACCAGGAUGGAAGAAAGGGACCAAGGUCAAGUUUCCAGACAAAGGAAACGAGCAAGUGAAUCAAUUACCAGCUGAUUUGGUGUUUGUGAUAGACGAGAAGCCGCACGAUUUGUUCAAGAGAGAUGGGAAUGAUCUCAUCACAAGCGCGAAAGUGACGCUUGCGGAAGCUAUAGGAGGAACAACUGUGAGUAUCAAGACGCUUGAUGGGAGGAAUCUACCCGUUGGUGUCACGGAGAUAGUCAGUCCAGGGUAUGAGCUUGUGGUUCCUGGAGAAGGGAUGCCGAUAGCUAAGGAAAAAGGAAACAGAGGUGAUUUAAAGAUUAAGUUUGAUGUUCAGUUUCCGACAAGGUUGUCAACGGACCAGAAGUCUGCACUCAAAAGGGUCUUAGUGGGUUGAAGAGUUGAGAUUUGGAAUCCCUCUCAAUGCUCUUGCAGUCAUGGUGAUGGUACCUUCCUUUGUUUUUGUUGUUGUUCAUUAGUUCUUUCUGUAAAGACUUUGUAGCAUGUUCUUGAUGUGUCUUAAAAACAACCUGUACAAAUCUUUGAUUGUGUUUGUUGCAUACUAUUAAACUUUAAGCUCUUGUUCUUAAAUAUUCCGGUUUACAAUUCUAUUAGCAUGCUACAAUAAAUAUAAGUCAACAAACCUAACAAAAACAUACUAUAAUAUUAGAGAAAGGAACAAAGAGAUAAAUGUGAAUGACAUAGGAGUAGAGACAUAUGUUUCCUCAUUCGAUAAGUUCAUGUUGCCACACAUGGACUCAUCUUCUUUUAUAGCUGAAAAUGGCAUAUGGUGAAUGGAAGUUUCCUCCAUAUAGGUAGAGAGAUACUCCGCUCCCAUAUUAAUGGACAUGAUACACCACAACUGUAUGCAACAUUCACUUCAAAAUAUUCAUGGAAACAGAUGGACAGAGUUUUGUGGUUAAUCUUUCAACUGUUAAGCAAAGGAGGAGAAACAUACUAGUGGUUAACGUGGAUUCCACGGCACACGUAGAUGAAAUAAAACGGCCUAAUUCAAAUAAACAAGGCCCAAACUCAGUGUUAGCUUUGAUAAUAAACGGGCCUUGGCAUUUGCUUAGGAUACCUCAUUAAUGAAUCCAACGGUUGUAAUCACGUGUCAGUGUCUUAUCAGACGGACGCUAUAAUUGCAUGCGAGCUGUUAAUUAAUAAUUAUUACCAGAAAACAAAACCGCUGUUUUUUUCGAUAAAAUCAAAAAACUAAAUUGCCCAGAAAAUACCAUCAUUUCUCUCAGCAAUCGAGAAAGUAAAAAAAAAACAAUCAAUCAACACACUGUUCCUUCUCCUCCUCGAUCCAAACUCUUGUUUUAAUUAUUCCUCUCGUAUAUUUAAAAAAAAAAAAAACAAAAUCGAAACCACUGUUUCCUUUCACCUCCCAGAUUUGCUUUUUUCAAAUUUCCUCUCUAGAUUUCAGAAAACUUUCCUCUUUUGUUUAAUUCAAACCCAAAGGGUCUCCUCUCUCACUAGGAAUCAUGAGAUGAAGAUUUGAGGAGAAAGCUUGUAAUCAUUAGGGUUUCCAAAUUAUCCAAAAGUAGAAACCUUAUUUUGUUCCGGAUCUGUGGUUCUGUCGGGGGGAUGAAGAAUGUUCAGUCCUAACACAACAUUUUAAUCUUCCUCUUUCGAUAUCCAUCGCUAUGUUCAAGCAGUUCCUCAGCAAGCUUCCUCGGAAGUCGUCCUCAAAACCCGACUCCACCUCGGAUCCAUCCGGAUCCAGCGUCGUCAGAUCCAACUCCGUCAAACGCAUGUCCUCCGCCGUCUUCCCCUCCAGCGUCGUCGCCGGAAUCGAGCCUUUGGUCCCCUUCAAAGACGUCCCGACCUCCGAGAAGCUAAACCUCUUCGUCUCCAAACUCAGCCUCUGCUGCGUCACCUUCGACUUCUCCGACCAAACCAAGAACUCACUCGAGAAAGACGUCAAAAGACAGACUCUCCUCGAGCUCCUCGACUUCGUAUCCUCCUCCUCCUCCGUUAGGUUCACCGAGCCAGCCAUCCUCGCGAUGUGCAAGAUGUCAGCCGUUAAUCUCUUCAGAGUAUUCCCUCCUAGUUACCGAGAGAGAAACGAUAGUGAUGAUAAUGAUCCCACGUUCGAACCUGCUUGGCCUCACCUGCAGAUCGUUUACGAUCUGCUGCUUAAGUUCAUCACGUCUCCUUGCCUAGACGCUAAGUUAGCUAAAAAGUAUCUAGACCACGGGUUUAUACUAAGGCUCCUCGAGUUGUUCGACUCCGAGGAUCCGAGAGAGCGUGAGUGUUUGAAGACAAUCCUCCAUCGCGUCUACGGGAAGUUCAUGGUUCACAGACCUUUUAUCCGCAAAGCAAUGAGCAACAUCUUCUACAGCUUCGUCUUCGAGACCACCGAGAAGCGCGGCGGGGGAGGAAUCGCCGAGCUUCUCGAGAUUUUCGGGAGCAUUGUGAGCGGUUUCGCUUUGCCUCUCAAAGAGGAGCAUAAGAUCUUCCUGUGGAGGGUGUUGAUUCCGUUGCACAAGGCUAAAUCCGUUGGGGGGUAUUUUCACCAGCUGUCUUAUUGUGUGACUCAGUUUAUUGAUAAGGAGCCGAAGCUUGGGAGCGUUGUGAUAAAGGGUUUGUUGAAGUUUUGGCCUGUGACGAAUAGUCAGAAGGAGGUUAUGUUUCUUGGGGAGGUUGAGGAGAUUGUGGAGGUGAUGAGUUUGGUGGAGUUUCAGAAGGUGAUGGUUCCUUUGUUCUUGAGGAUUGCUGCUUGUGUUAACAGUUGUCACUUUCAGGUAGGUUUCUUGCUUUCUUUUUAAGAGAUAUUGUUAAUCUAAAAUUAUUUUUAGACACUGUUUUUUUUUAAAUAAUAUUAACGGUAUAAUUAACUAAGUUCUAAAAGUUAAUAGACGUUUUUUUGAAAUUAUAAGCUCUAAAUUUAGCUUUUUUGAUCAAAAUUUUUGAAGUUUUAGACCAUAAUUUAUGUAUAUAUUUUUGAAAUUUUAUUUUUAAAAAAGUUUUAGCAGUAUAAUUUUGAAGUAUAAGUUUUAGCUCUAAAUUUCAGUAGUAAAUCUAAAAUUUUGAUGUUUUAGACCAUAAUUUAUGUAUAUAUUUUUGAAAAAUUAUUUAUUUUAUUUUUUAGAUCCACUUAGAUGGCCUUGAUCUCAAUUUAAGCAGUGUAUUAUUGAAGUGUAAGUUUUAGCUCUAAAUUUCAGCAGUAAAUCUAAAGUUUUGAAGUUUUAGACCAUAAUUUAUGUAUAUAUUUUUGAAAAAUUAUUUAUUUUAUUUUUUAGAUCCACUUAGAUGGCCUUGAUCUCAAUUUUGGAGUUUGAACCGUUUGUGUUUUUCUUGUGGUUUAGGUUUCUGAGAGAGCUUUGUUCUUGUGGAACAACGAUCAGAUUGUGAAUUUGAUUGCACAGAACAGGCAAGCCAUCUUACCGAUCAUGUUCGCUGCCUUGGAGAAGAACGCUGAAAGCCACUGGAACCAGUCCGUGCUGAACUUAACUCUAAACGUGAGGAAAAUGUUUUGUGAGAUGGACGAGGCUUUGUUCAUGUCUUGCCACGCGCGGUUUCAGGAGGACGAAGCAGAGCAAUGCUCUGCGGAGGAAAAGAGGAAAGAAACAUGGGCGAGGCUAGAGAAGGCGGCAAGUAUGAAGCCUGUAACUGGAAAGACAGCUGUUCUUGUAACUCCUUUAGCAACCUCCAUUGCCUGCUAAAUGAAGAUGAUGGAAUGGCUGUUGGUUAAGCUAUGGUCUGGAUUUGAUCUUUGUAAUGUUAUAUAGUUUUGAUGUUGUUAGCUUAUGUGGGUUUUAUGCUAAAUCUCUUGCUUUAAAAGUGAGGAAGCCUUGAAACCAUGCUGCAGAUUUCUAUAUGAAACUCUUUGUAUUCAAUUAAGUUUAUAUAAGAAGCCAUUUUCAACAAUGUGUCUAUGAGGUACAUAGAGUCAAUUAUAUUGCUAAAGAAACAAAAACAUAGUUAUUGUCUCUUCAUAGUAGGCAUACGGCCGGAUAGUUAGGUUUCAGUUAGUUUGGUUCAACAUAAAUCUUAGCAAAUUAACCCAGUUUAAAGUACGGUUUCAGUAUUCGGUAAGGUCAAUUUUAAAAAUCUUACAUAAGUUUUUUAUUUAGAUUAUAUUUUGAUUUAAUUUUGCUAAAAUUUUGAAUAAUUUCAGUUAAAAUCAGUUAAGUUGGUUAGUUCAGUUUUAAAUUUUAUUAAUUUGAUUCAGAUUUUUGGUAUAGUUUGGUUAUAGUUUUUUUUUAUUUUUAGUUUCUAAGAAAAUCGAAGUAACCAAAUCAAACCGGACCAUAAAAGCGAACUAUUUAUAAAAGCCACCAAUUAUAUUGCUAAAGAAACAGAAACAUAGUAUAGAUUGUCUCUUCAUAGUUCAUACACUAAGGUCAUGAAGGAAGAACGUUUUCCCACGGUAUGUUAUGGUCUUUUCUUCAGCUCCAAGACACCACAAAUGCCCUUGAAGGUUAAUACUCUCUUUCAUUCCCGCCGUUUCCCACACAAAUUCAAACAACCCCAAGGCUCUAUCCAACUGCUUGAUCCCUCUCCCCAGCAUCUUCUCAUCCCCUGAGGUCAAUACCCUCCCCAUGCUUAAGCUAAAAACCCCACUCUUCUCCUCCUUGUGAAACCCUCCACAGAGAUCAACUUCAAUGUCACGCACACGUCCAUAGAGAAAAUACACGAGAAGACUGAACAAACACGGCGAAGGACUCCCCAACAUCUUCGAAAGCUUUCUGUAGACAAGGUGCUCUUGAGGCCUAACCUCUCUGAACCCAAUAGUGUUGUCUAGAAACACGUCUUUGAUCUGUAGAAGCCCUUCUUUCAUCGACAAAAGCUUCUCCAGAUGGUAAAAGUCAUGCUCUUCGAGGUACCUUCUCAGAUCGUUCACCAUGUCGAGAACAUCUUCCCACUUCGCAGAAGCGUUUGCUUUCGCGUAUCUACCUGGCACGGGACGCAUCCAAGAAGUCGAGGUCUCGUCUUCGAACGAGACCGAUGAUUCAGACAAGAACUUGAGGCAGGACAAGAUCACUUGCUGUCCUAACUUCGUCCCUUGCCUUGUUGUCUCGCUAUGUUCAACUUCUUCUUGGAGAGCGUUCAGUAUAUCUUCGAGAGCACCUCUCCAGAUACGGUACUGGGUCACCUGCGAACACACCGUGGACCUCACUAGCUUCCUCUGUUGGGCCGUGAUGUCGAGAAAGUUGCAGACUUUGGUUAAUGAGUUCACCACGAACGGCUCUCUUUCGGUUUCGGUGUUGAAGCGUUUAUGUUCUUUGAGCUUCUGCUGAAGUGGAGGAGACCCAAUGAAGAUUCUAGCUAGAGACUUGAAGGCUUGCAUCUUCUGUUUGAUGUGAUCAUUAUAGAUGAUGACGCCGUUGAUGUCUUCAAGCUUGCCGUCUACUAAGUCGAAGUCCUUUAGUGAAUGGGUGAGUUUGGUAAGAAGUGGGAGUUUCUUUGAGUACCAUUCAAAUGGUAAUGAUUCUUUGUAGGAAUCCACAUGGAUUGUACGGAGGAAGCGAGUUGGGUUAGCCCUUACAGUACCCAACAUUUGAAACAGAGCUAAUAUUCAGACAUUAAGUGAAUAAAUCAGACAAGAAAUGUCAAACUCUCUUUCUCUCUCUCUUGGGAAUUUCUACGAACAGUUUGUGUGCAACUCUUGAGAGGGGGGGGGGAAUCUAAGAGACUCAACAGCAUUUAGGAAUUUCUAAUUAGAGAUUAAAGUUGUAGUGAAAGAGCAUCUGUAGCGUGAAAGAGAAGUGAAGCGAUUUGGGAGGAGAGAAGGGAAGCUUCAGAUGAGUAGAUGGCAAUGCGAAGCUGUGAGAGAUGGAGAUGAGAGUUGGAAAGCGAAGAGAGCUGGUGUUGCGUUUUGGAUCAUUAAUGGGCCGAAGAAGUAAGAAUUUAAAAAGGCCCAAUAGCUGGUUUUAUUACGAUAUAUUUUUCUUUUUGUUUUGCGUACUAAAACGUUUCUAAUAAUUUUUUUAUUAAUCAAGAAACUGUAAAAUCUCCUCAUAAAAAUUGUAAUUUUCACAUUAUAUAUAAAUAUAUACUUGUUAUUUGGUACUACUGUAUAUGUAAUUAAAUCAAUUUUUUUUGUCCAAGUGCACCACCAUGCUUUCCAUAAACCAAGGUAUUACAGUUUCUAAUUUUGUAAUUCUUAAACUAGGGAAAUGGUCUUUUAAUUGUAUUUACUUUUGCUCGUAACAUUCUUAAUUUUCCCAUGAAAAUCAAAAAUUUGAAAUAUCCGGUCAAUUGCGAAGCCUCUCUGUUGUCUCUCCUAAGCAUUACUCUGUGAGUCUAUCUUCCCCCUCCAACGGAUUUUCAGUUUAUUAAAUGAAAUUUCUGAAUGUUGUGAAGAACAUAUAGUAUUGAUGAUAUCUUUUAUCAAAAAGGAGAUAUAGUAUUUGAUCAUGUUUAUGUCUUUUUAUAUGAAGAUUUACGAUUUCUGAGUCCGAUUCCUCUUUGACUCGUGCGGAUGCCUCUAUUGUUUUUAGUAGAAGUAUACCAUACAUAUUACAUACGGCCUUUAAAAGGAAAAAGAGUUUUCAUCCAAAUUAUUGAGAAUGCAUGGUCCUUCCAUGACAACUGCAUACUUUGCAUAAAGAUAUAAAUCAUUAGAAGAAUGUGACAAAAAAAUAAAAGAAAGAGAAGCUAAGAAAGAAGGGCUUAUAAAGAUGAAUAUGCUUUCUUUUAUGUGGGUUAAAGAAAAAUUUUAUGCUUUCUUUUAUGUUUUUUUAAAACUUUUUUAAAAGUUACUGCAAUUUUGUAAAAAAAAAUUACGAAUUUAUUAUUGUUUUUUUCUUUAACUGUUUUGUACUGAUAAAUUGUUUUAUUCUUGUCAUCAAGAGUUCAAUGGUAUUUCUAAAAUGGAUAAAAGGUUUUUUUUGAUGUUGCUUUUCGCUACAAAAAUCGACUUUAACAGUAUGAAUUCUUGUUUGGUCAUCGAGAAAAAGGAAACACUAAGUGCUUAGUUUAUGUAUGUAAUUUAGUUACUCCCCUAAUUUAUGUUUAGUUAACAUGGAUUAUGAAACUGAAACUAUGAUUAAAGCUAUAUGAAAACAGAUGCACACAUCUAUCCUGACUUUUCCAAGUCAAAACAGAUGUUUCAACUGUAUUCCUCGCCAAAACUUAAAGUAGUGACUUUUUUUUUUUUAAGUAGUGACUUAAUUUGACAAUAAUAUGUAAUUUAGUGACUGAUUAAGUAGGAAUAUCGGAGUAAUUGUGAAAUUAUGUACUUAGUUAAGUCGUAAUAUGACUAUGCUAGUUAUAAUAAAAUGUGUUCUUACUAGCAUAGCAUAUUCAUACAACUUGACUAAGUUAUAUACAAUACUGUAUUCGAUUAAGAAAAAUAAAACAGAUUUACUAUUAAGGAAUAAACCCUUUUCUUGUCUAUAAUGCAUACGUAUGUUAUAUGUCUUAUCUAAGUUCAUUUGGUGAUAUAAAACCAUCGAACUUGGUCGAGCCUGUCUUUAAGAAUGUUGUUUAAUUACUACAAAUCAACGGGUUCAAAUAGCACAUGACAUGAAUGCAAAGGCAUCUUAAUCGAAUAUAACUGAUAUGGGUUUGGAAUUCAAAGUGCGAAUGAUGCAUACCUAAGACUGUACUUUCACUUCACUAAAACCAAAGAAGAAUAAAAUGAUGAAUUAACUUAAAAGUGGGGAAAAAACGAAAGAUUCUUUAGUAAAAGCCAAUUAGUGCAACACUUUAACAAAAAAAAGCCAGGCAAUGGAUUGUAGUAGCAGACAUUAAAGACGGGUUAUCUUCUUUUUUGACCAUUUGAUGAUAAUCUUAACUACACAACUCUACCAGGUCAAAUGACGACUGAAGAAUCCUAUGCAAAAUGCAACGUGUCUGUAGACACGUACCCACGCUUAUACUAUCUUAGGACACUAGAAUGAAUGGUGAAUAACAAACAAAUCUUCAUGUAAGGGAACAGUAUAAAAAAGGCUAUGCCGCGAAACAUCCAUUUGUGUCAAAAAUUCCAAAACGAACUUAGUGAGCUUGCCAUUCAGGUAUUUAGUGACAACAUAAUUAUUUCUCUGGUGACUAUUCAUAUUCUUAAAGAAAGGAAUUCAGAUAUUUUUCUUUUCAAUGUGGUGGUCAACUCAUCAUCCUCAAGCCACAUCAUAAUUAUAGGAAUGCAUACCUAUACUAUUAGAUGCUUAAGUUUUAUCCACCGUUGAAAAUUUCAAAUCUCAUGGUUAUUCACUCUCUUUUUGAGCCAUUGGAUUUUGAUGUGGUCCAUGCAUGCAUCUACUCAUUUCAAACGCUUUUUCUUACUCAUUUCAAAUACUUGCUAGAAUUGUUGUUUGGUUUAACGUAAGAAUCUCUAUCCUUAGCUAUACUAAAGUUUCUAUAAAAUUAAUUGCAUAAUAUGAUUUGCAUACAAUUUGGAUUUGCUGUAGCAAAUCUCAUCGUCUUGUACGGUCAACAACUCAAGCGCUUCAAAUUUAGAUGGAAUCGUCAUUGAGGGAUAAGAGAGUAACAGUUUAUCAAAAAUAAGGAUGCAUUAAUUAAAAUAAACGUACAUAGUAGGAAGAUCGAUAUCAGAAGUCAGAACAAAGAACUUCCGAUUUUUUUUUACUAGCUUACAGUCUAAACAUAACCAGACAAAGGUCCUACGAAAUACGAAACGAGUCAAAGCAAGAAAAAAAAACAAAUGACGACAAACAGGGUCGUUAUCUUGCUUCCAUUCUUCAGUAGUUUUAUCUCUUCUAGUGCAGCCUGCAUAAAAAAGCCAAAGUAUAUGUUAAAACACUUUUUCAACCAUGAGGUCUCACGUUUUAAAAUUUAAAUCAAAUGAAAACUUGUGUUCCCUUUUCGAAUGUUUGUUGUUAAUGUAGGAAAGAAAACAUAAUAAAAAAUUUCACGUAAUAAAUUUAGACCCAAUAUACAUGGGGCACGAAACAAUAACUUCUUUUGCAUAUGUUCUGGAUUGGGUCUGGUUAGUUUCUAUAUAUGCCACAUUUUGUCAACGUAGAUAUAGCACACUAGCAUAUAAAAACCAUGAGAGAUUGUUGUGGCAUGUGAGUAAAAUUUUGGAAUUAUUAGAAAUGAAAUUUAUUGAAGAAAUAACAAAUAAACAAAUUUACUUGAUCAAGAUGAUGAAGAAAGUUAGGUCUAGUAGGGUGGAUUGGUGUCAGGUUCCUUUGGGGCGUUGCACCUGAAACACUCUGACCUGCUUGCGAAGUUAUGUUCAUUGCAGCCUGACCUAUACAUACAAAACCAAUCAGCUUCUACAAUCUUCUUAUACAUAUACAAACAUGAAUGAAUAUAAAUACUAAUAUUCUAAAAUUGUCGUCUUAGCUUACGAAGCCUGCGCGCAUGCAUGAAUUUAUGUAUAUGUAUUAUUACAUGGUGGAGACGCCCAUGUACAUUUUCAUGAACCAUGCACAUGAAACAAACAAAUACAAAAAAAAAAAAAACAAUACCUGGGGCAAAUCCAAUCUCCAGAUUUCCAAGAAGAGCGGCCCAUGCCUCCGCCACCACCACUACUAGUGCUACCAAAUCCAAAAAAGCCACGUCUUGGACCAUCACUCAAGUCCAUAAACCCGGUGGCUAGAGCGGCAGCCGAGCGUGAAGACUCAUCUUUUGCGGCACCACACUUGAAACAGCUGGACCUGCUUGCAAAAUUGUGAGUCCCGCAAUUUCCAAGGUUGCAGUACCAAUCACCGGGUCUCACAUCAGGCCCGGUGUUGAAAGCAAAAGCGUUGCUGAUCGGGCGGCUUGCAAAGCCGCUGACUAAGUCGGUAAUGCUUCCCGGUCUGGGCUCUCUGCAUCGUUGGCAGGACUCACUUCUUUGGAAGUUGAGGUGGCUACACGAUAGGCAGUUCCAGUCUCCUGGCCUAUUCAUCUUCUUCAAAUCCCCCAUAGAUAAAAAGAAAUUAGACAAUAUUAAAGGUAUAUACAUAUUCACAAGUGUAGCCUAAUAUUUGAUGAUUACCUGGGGAUGUUAGCUGAAAACAGUAAGGAGAGUAGAAGUGAUAUUUUGGUGUUGUGAUAUGUCCCCAUAUAUAUACAUCGGCAAAGCAAAAGGUUCUUCUUUAUCAACCGGGAACAUACUUUGAAGUGAAAUUAGGGUUUCAAAAGGUUUUAACUUUCUUAUUUUUGUUUCAGCUUUAAUGCAUUUCCUUUAACGUUGGGUUUCUCUGUAAACUACGUUUUCCCAAAAGAAACAAAAGAUUAUCCAUACUAGUUUAAAGCUUCCAAUAUCAGCCGUUUUAUUAUGCUUGUGCUUCACAAAAGCUAUUAUAUAGUGAUAAAAUCAAUAUUCACAUAGUUGACAGAUGUGUAUUUUCAUAUACAUCAAUAUUUAUACUCAUUUUUAGACACCCAAUUGUUUUAAAAUUGAUGGGGAUAUGUAGACUAUAUAUGUAGUUUGCAUCAUAUACUGCGUGUAUGAGUUGUAAACAAUCAAAAACAUGUUUGAAACUUAUGUUGAUAUCCAAAUUGCGUAACUUUCUUAAAAUCCGCCAAUUCAACUAGGUUCAUGACCAUGGGUGGAUAAUAAGGUCUCGUGCGUGUGUCAGUAGUAAAAAGGAUGCCUCAGAAGAAAAGAAAAAUCUAAAGCAAAAGUUGCAUGGCAACAGUUUCAAGAACGUAUUGGUUCCAUAAACCGCGGAAAUUAAACAUUAAAAGAAUAUUUACUUCUAGUAUUUUCAGUAAGUGUUAUCUUCCAUUUUUUUCCUAGCAAUAUCGAGUUACUCGUGUAUAGCCCGUCAGAACGUGUUCGCGUUCUCAGCCAAAACCCAAGAAAACAACAUCAAAUAUAUUUAUUUUUUAAAAGGAAAACAAGAAUCAUUGGAUUGGAACGUAUAUAUUGUCUUCUUCUUUUUUUUUUUUUUUUGUAACACGAAUAUAUUGUCUUCUUCAAUGUUUGAAUUUCGACCAUUUUUGUCUGUCAUUUGAAUUUGUCGAUUAUACGACACAGUUUCAUAUAUAAACCUAGACAUUAUCGCUUACGCCUUAUGCUACACCAAAAUCGGCUUUAUUUACCGUCAUUAACUUUUAAGACACGAGUGAAAAAUAUUUACCACUUUUUUCGUGGUGACACUAUGACAUCAUAUAAAAACUAUAAUAUUAAAUGGUAAACCAACAUGAGCUUCUAGUCCAAAAGGUCGCGUUACUACGCAAAUUAGCUUCUCAAACGGUGGUGUUCCAAUUAUGGAAACAGAGGAACAACGUCGUGCAUAACAGAAUGUGGCUUCCUGCUCCUCGAGUAUUUCAAGCAAUUGACAGAGAGAUGCGGAACAUAAUUUCGUCGAGGAAAGCUCGUAAGGGAUUCAGGUCCCUAAUGCCCAUGUGGUUAAGAUGACUUUGUUACUCUGUUUCUUUGCUCCCUGUUCCAACUUGUUUUUAUUUCUUUUUGCCGGGUUGGAACAGAUUCUUAGAUUACUAUCUUGUAGGAUCUUAAAUCAUUAAUAUGAUAUUUACGUGAAAAAAAAAAAAAAAAAAAAAAAACAUGAGCUUCUAGUCCAAGUGGUUUAUGCACUAGGUUAAGGUUUCGCCCAUAUAAAAACUAGAACUAGACCCUGGCUACUCGGGUCACAAAGUUCAAUAUGAUUCGUUCACAAUUGUACACGAGGCUAACGCCUUAUCCAUAAUUAAGUCCGCAUAGAAGCUAACUCGAAAUUGGAAAAAAAAAUAGUGGGGAUUAAAAGAAGUACGAACUAUAUAAUGUAGGAAAAUAUGUAAGAUUCAUAAUAAUUAGUAAACCCACCACAUUGUCUCGGGGAAUGGUAAAGAAAAGACUGACGAACACAAAGAAAAGAGAUUCGAUUCUCUUUGGGAAAUGCUUCCAUGCAUCAGUUAUAUCCCCACACGUACGUAUUUUAUGAGUACGAUCAAUCGCGCCCAAGGAUACUCCAAUAAAUCAUAGGAGGAAAACAAGAACAUCUUAUAAAUACUUUUUUUGACUAAGAUCUUAUAAACACUUAAAAAUCAGUUAUUAGCGAAUCCUGGAUCAAAACAUUUAUUUUACUGAUAUUAUAUAACAUGAUUUAAUAUUAAAAGAAAAUUGUGCUAUGAUAACUGAUAAUUUUCAUUUCAUAUUUUCCGCAAUUAUAUUCAUAAUUAAAAAAAUUUUAAACACCAACCUAUUUAGUUUAAGCAGAGUAAUAAAAUGUUUGGUUUAAGCCCUCCUCUAUUACAAAAUUAUAAAAAUCUAAACACAGACGCCACUAAUUAUAGUUCGAGUCUGUUUUUAGAGUCAUGACAACAUGGCAUAACCAUGCGCUUCUGUCUUGUUAUUUAGACCAAUGUGUUACCUUACCCUUUUUUUAGCAACAUGUUCCCUUACCUUUGUAUAUUAUUGUCGCCCAGUUUUAUAAUGGGCUUUCUCUGGCCCAUUAACAAUGAAUGAUUCAACAAUCCGUACGAGUCAAAGUGUCAGACAGUUGGAUUGGCUUUUGAAUCGUUUCUCUCUCCCUACCCUCAGGCAGUUGAGCGGACUUUAGAGAGAACUCGCAGCAGCCACACAGCAAGAGGAAGAGGAAGCUUCUUCCACUGCAACGGUGCGUGCAUUUUUACCCUCUAUAAGUCUUCGUUAACGUUACCUUUAAUCAAUUACUUGCAUCUUACGCAUGUCUUUGUCCAAUUGUCAAAUUGUCCGUACACAUUGUCUGCUUUCUUUACCCUCUAUAAUAAGCCAUUAAUUUAUGUUUUUUUAUCUCAUAUAUUUACAAUGGCUUUUGAUUCUAUCACGCAUCUUCGUCUUCACUUACUAACCCUAGUUUUCAGAACAGAUCCCGUUUGAAAAAGCUGAAGGAAAAUGGCGCUCAAUGGCGUUUUUGAUUUUCUCCAAGAGAAUGUGAAGAAGCCUCGCUUCUGCAAGUCUCUGCCUUUAGGAGAAAACUGGAAGUCUAAAUCAAUGGUAAUUUAGUAUUAGUUCCCAUGUAGUUUUGUGACAAAAAAAAAAAAAAAAAAAAAAUCAUACGAGGAAGCAUCAGCUGCCAUCAACUCUCACACGGCGUUUCAGACCCAACAAAGCGGCUACACCAUGAACCCUCCCCAAUACAAUCCCAACUUCAGAGGCCGUGGUCGCUUUAAUCAAGGUAGAGGUCGUGGAGGUUACUCAAGCAGAGGAAGAGGCUUCUUUCAGCACCAACCACAGCAACAAGGAGGAAACAACUCCCGUCCAACUUGUCAGAUAUGCGGCAGAGUUGGUCACACCGCUCUAAAGUGCUACAAUAGGUUUGACAAUGCAUAUCAAACCACGCAGCCUCCACAAGCUUAUGCGGCCCUUCAAGUUGCUGAUUCAUCAGGCAAGGAAUGGCAUCCUGACUCCGGUGCGACUACACAUGUCACUUCCUCUACAAACAACCUUCAUACUGCUGAGACAUACAAUGGAACUGACGCUGUGAUGGUAGCAGAUGGAACUUACCUCCCAAUCAGUCACAUUGGCUCUGUCACACUCUCAAACACCACAGGUAACAUCUCUCUCAAUGAUGUGCUCGUAUGUCCUGAGAUUCAGAAGUCACUGUUAUCUGUGUCUAAACUCUGUGAUGAUUAUCCAUGUGGUGUUUACUUUGAUGCAUCUAAAGUUUGCGUGAUUGAUCUCAUAACUCAGAGAGUAGUGUCAGAGGGCCCUCGUCGUAAUGGCCUAUAUGUGUUGAAGAGUCAAGAACUAGUUGCGAUGUAUUCAAAUCGGCAGUGUGGAGCUGAUGCAGAAGUUUGGCACCAGAGACUUGGACACUCCAACUACCAGAUUCUUCAACAUCUCAAGAACAACAAGGAGAUAACAGUGAAUAAGAGCAGCAUCAAUCCUAUUUGUGAGCCUUGUCAGAUAGGAAAAUCAUCAAGACUUCAGUUUUUUUCUUCAGACUCUCGUGUUUUGCAUCCCCUAGAUCGAAUACAUUGUGAUCUUUGGGGCCCUGCACCAGUUGUAUCAAACCAGGGGUUCAAAUACUAUGUUAUUUUUGUGGACGACUUCUCUAGAUACACCUGGUUCUAUCCUCUCCGUGCUAAGUCAGAGUUCUUUGCAGUGUUCAAAACGUUUCAAAGACUAGUUGAGAAUGAGUUCAAUACAAAGAUCAAAGUGUUUCAAAGCGAUGGUGGUGGCGAAUUCAUGAACAAUGCCUUCAAACAACACUUCGCUGAGUCAGGAAUAAAACACCUAGUCUCCUGUCCAUACACUCCGCAACAAAACGGAACUGCAGAGAGAAAACACAGACACCUGGUAGAGCUUGGCCUGACGAUGCUCUUUCAAAGUCACGUUCCACUGAAACACUGGGUAGAAGCCUUCUUCUCAUCAGUAUAUAUUGGAAACAGACUACCGAGUGUGGUUCUUCAAAACAAGAGUCCCUACGAAGUGUUGAAGUUGAAGAAACCAGAGUACUCUGCUCUUAGAGUGUUUGGGAGUGCUUGCUAUCCGUGUCUGAGACCUAUAACUGAAAACAAGUUUGAUCCAAGAAGUCUCCAGUGUGUAUUUAUUGGUUAUAAUUCUCAGUACAAAGGCUACAGAUGUCUGCAUCCUCUAAGUGGAAAAGUCUACAUAAGUAGACAUGUGAUAUUCGAUGAAGGGUUAUCUCCGUUCAAACAUCAGUACAAGCAUCUAGUCCCUCAGUACAAGACUCCGUUGAUGCAGGCAUGGCAAUCAUUUCCACUCAGCACUCAGUCAUCAGAUGAUCGUAUCACGAGGUUCUUCACUCCUGAUAUAUCGUCAACUCCACAAGGAAUUCCACAAGCAGAACCAGCAACUGAGAUUCAACAACAAGCAACAGCUGCAGUUGACCCUCCUGCAGAGAUUCCUCCUGUUAAUACUCCAGUGAUUCCUCCUGUGGACAACACUCACACUAUGACGACUAGAGGUAAAGCAGGAAUCCACAAACCAAACUCAAGAUAUGUUCUGCUUGCUUCAAAAUUCUCCACCAAAGAGCCUACGACAAUUGCUGAAGCUAUGGCUCAUCCUGGUUGGAGAAAUGCAGUCAUGGAAGAGAUGGAAAGGAUACACAUGCUAAACACUUGGAGUCUGGUACCAAGAACGCCAGAGAUGAAUGUAAUUGGAUCGCAGUGGCUUUGCAAAACUAAACUUAAACCAAACGGCGAUGUUGAUAAGUUGAAGGUGAGACUGGUAGGGAAAGGAAAUCAUCAAGAAGAAGGGCUCGAUUACUUGGAGACAUUUAGUCCGGUUGUCAGAACGGCAACAAUAAGAAUAGUCCUCAAUGUAGCUAUACAAAAAGGAUGGGAUCUGAAGCAGUUAGAUGUCUCCAACGCCUUUCUUCACGGAGAACUACAAGAACCAGUCUACAUGACUCAACCUCAAGGAUUUGUAGAUGCAGAGAGACCGGAUUAUGUAUGUAAACUGACAAAGGCCUUGUACGGACUGAAGCAAGCUCCGAGAGCAUGGUUUGAUACAUUCAGUGCCUUCCUCAUUGAAUUUGGGUUCAUCUGCAACAAGUCUGAUCCGUCUCUAUUCAUUUAUAAUCGUCAAGAGAAAACGAUGGUGCUGCUUCUGUAUGUUGACGACAUUCUUCUCACGGCUGAUGACAAUAAUCUGAUGGAUACUCUGUUAGAAAAGCUCAACACAAGAUUUUUAAUGAAAGAUCUUGGAUUUCCCUCCUACUUUCUUGGUAUUGAGAUAGAGAAAACUCAUGAUGGGCUGUUUCUUCAUCAGUCAGCCUAUGCGGAUGAUGUGCUUCAUCAAGCAAGUAUGUCAACAUGUAACCCCAUGCCGACACCUCUACCCACAAGCCCUGAUACUCUUGAAGAUGAAGCAUUUCCAGAACCAACAUACUUCAGGAGCAUAGCAGGAAAACUGCAGUAUCUCACCAUAUCAAGACCCGACAUACAGUUCGCUGUAAACUUUGUAUGUCAACGAAUGCAUGCUCCUACAGUAGGAGACUUUGGUUUACUCAAAAGAAUCUUGAGAUAUGUAAAGGGCACUGCGAGGAUGGGGAUGCAUAUACGCAAAGACUCCGACCUAGUGCUUACUGCAUAUUGCGAUAGUGACUGGUCUGGAUGCAGAGAAACAAGAAGAUCCACCACUGGGUUGUGCACACUGCUAGGACCUAAUCUGAUAUCUUGGUCAGCUCGACGUCAAGAUACAGUGUCUGGCUCAUCUACUGAAGCCGAAUACAGAGCUCUCACAACAACAGCUAAGGAGAUUGUGUGGCUGUCAUUUCUUCUCAGGGACCUGGGAGUACAUCAAGAGAACCCAACACUGCUUCAGUGUGAUAAUCUCUCAGCUGUGUAUCUUAGUGCCAAUCCAGCUCUACACAAACGAUCCAAACACUUUGAGAAUGAUUGGCAUUUUAUCAGGGAACAGGUGGCUCUUGGACAUAUUGAAACAAGACACAUACCGGCGGAACUGCAGCUAGCAGACAUAUUCACUAAACCCCUUCCAAGAAGAUCAUUUGAGAGUUUGAGGAGCAAACUUGGCGUUACCUUCCUCCCCACGCCAGGUUUGCGGGGGGAUAUGAGUAACAAAGAUAUGGGCCUGACGAGAGUGGCCCAUCAACAAACAGAAGUCAACAGUAUAGUCCGCCAAGAUGAAGUGAAGAAGAGGACAAAACAGAGUAACGGCUAUGAAAGACUAAAGAAGGAGAUACCGACUCUGAACAGAUUUGAUACCUUAUCCAGACUAGUACAUGAUGAGUCACUAGACAGCCUGUGUGUAUAGUACAAGACCUAGGGUAUUCUAAGCUUAGUAUAUAAACCAAUGUACACUCUCAUUGAGAUCAGCUGAGUUUCAUAAUAAAAGUUAUUCAGUAAAACCUAGUUUCAUCAAAGUUCUAUAGUUUGUAUAUACAAUAGACUUUAUUUAGUAUUGUCCGUUUCUUGUUAGAAAAACGCUCAGAUCUUUCUCUGUUUCAAGAAACUUUGAAGAGAUCUUGUUCUGUUUUUAGCCUUUAUUUUGUUUAAUUAUUCUUGGUUUUAUGUAGAGGAUCAUACCUGAAGAGUUCGUGAGAAGCGCUCAUGGUGCAUUUGAGCACAGGCUGGUGUUCAGUGUUUCUUGGGGCAAUUCGUGGCAAGUCUGGCUCCACAGAGACAAGAAUGGUCUGUUCAUGGAAGAAGAGGACUGGAACGAGUUUGUGGAUGACAACUUGUUAUGCCCUAACGAUAUCUUGCUCUUCACUCAUGUGGACACAAUGUUUACUGAAGUGAGAAUCUACAAAAAAGAUUUGCCCUUCUUCAAACAAGUCAUCUCAGCACCUCAAGUGCUUAACCCUAAGCCAAAAGCCCCUUCCUCUGCCCCUCCUGGCUUUGCUCCCUUUGCUUCUUCUGCCUCUGCCUCGGGUAAGACCAUUAGUUUCAUACUUUCUCAAACUCAAAACUAUUCUGCUCUAACUUUGAUUCUUUUUGUUUAUGUUUUGGCAGCAAGUAGAGCGAGACAGAGCUCUUCCCCUGUCCAAAACCCUGAGCAGUACCUCGUAAACCCCCAAAACCCCUACUUUGUCAAGACGCUGUCCAAAAAGAUCGAUGUUCUGGUAAUAAUAACAUCAGCCUUUUUAGUUUAUGUUUGUUGCCUAUGAAGCUAACACUUUUAUUUUUUUUAAUGUCUGUGGCAAAUAAGUAUGUGAACCAAGAGGUGAUUCAGAGGUAUGGCUUGAAGUUUGGUCCCCAUCUGUCCCUCGUUCAUUAUCUUCUUCCCGGAGAAAAACACGAGGCUGUGAUUAAGAUCUACCGCAACGCUCCUUGUUUCAAUCGCUGGGCAGCUAUAUGUAAGAAGUACAACAAGAAAGAAGGAGACAGUGUUGUUUGUGAGCUAGAACGCUCAAGUGGUGUGGUUACUGCUGUUAGAGUGCACUUCGUUGAUGAAUGAAGAGACCAAGAAGACCUCUCUUGUCUCCUUCCUAUGACUUAAGCUCCCAAUAAGUGUUUACCAAACUUACUAUUUGUAUUGCAACAAUUAAGUAACUGUCGGUGUGAUACUAAUCUAAUUUAGAGCUUUCUUGUGACUAAUGCUUCAUAUAAUCUCUCUUUUGACAACCGUACGUAUCUUUUGAAUAAAACUUAAAUAACACACCAAAAAGACAAUGUUAUUAUAAAAAUAAAGCCCACACACUUCACUUCUUGUAAUAAUUUAAGAUCUUUCUUGUGACUGCUCCUUCCUAUAAGUUAAGUUUCCUAUAAUUGUUUACCAACUUACUAUUUGUAUUGCAACAAUUAAGUAAUUGUCAGUGUGAUACUAGUCUAAUUUAAGAUAUUUCUUGUGGCUAUGCUUCAUAUAAUCUCUCUUUUUACAAUCAUAUUUUUUGAAUAAAAUUAAAAAAGAAACACACCAAAAAGACAAUAUUAUAAAAAUAAAGCCCACACACUUCACUUCUUGUAAUAAUUUAAGAUCUUUCUUGUGACUAUGCUCCAUACUUGGUAUGAAUUUAGAUGAUGUAUUUGUUUUAUUGAUCUUAUAAGUAAAAUGUAUUUCAGUGGAUGAUUUGAAUUUUCUUUAUAUUAAUCAGAUAUGCAUACAAUUUUAUUCUUGUAAAUUUGUUAAAAAAAAACUUUCCAUAAAGGCUUACUACAUACAUAAGAAAAUGGCGACUUUCUUUUACCUUCUCAUACAAGAAAAUACAAUAUAAGCAAAGGCACAUAUAACCCUACUAAACCUUUCCUUUUACAACCAUAUAUUGUGAAUAAAAUCAAAAACACACCAAAAGACAAAAUAUUAUAAAAAAAAUCCCAAACACUUCACUUCAUGUAGUAAGGUUUCACUCAUCUACUUACGAGCGCUUAUAAGCUUGACAUCGUCAAUCACAGGCCCACAUAGAGACGAGAAAUCAUCACUCCUCAUAGCAUAGAAAGUGCUGUAAAACAUAACUCUAGUUCUUGUCGAAACCGCGACAAACCGGAUUGAAGCUCGCUUAAACCCUCCCGUGCCACGUGACUCGUAAGGUACCUUAAGCGUAUCUCUCCCUGCAAAAGCUUCAACCACCAUUGAGCCUUUGCAAGCAUUGUUAGCGUCCCCUACCGCAAAUGAGAGGACAUAAGUCUUCCCAAUGAUGGUCCGAGCAACUUGGGCGAUGGCGCUCUCUUUGCCUGCUACUAGCUCAAUGGCUCGGCGACCUUGUGGGAUUGAGAAGUGUUCUGUGUCUACGUACUUGACGGCUUUGAGAGACUCGACCAUCCAACCGGGUAGGGGAGAGUGGUCGUCUUCUAUGAACGGCGGGAUUAAAACUCCUGUGGUCGAGCCUGGUAGGACUAAUGGACCUUCUUCAAAUCCUCCGUUUUUCAAAAUGUUUUCUGACACAUCAAAACAUACAAUAGUUUCAUAACAUAUGAUAUUAAGUCAAGAUGUAUAUACUACAUUCAUUUUUAUACACAUACAUAAGAGUAGAGGAGUAGACAAUACUUGUGUGUAUUUAUAUUUAAUGACAUAAUAUUUUCACUCCUCUACUCCGUUCAAGAAAUCACUACGCCGUAGGUAGGUUGGGCAAUAACAAUUUUUUCUUUAUUUAUUAUACAUCUUAUAUUAUAUAUUAAGUUUUUGUGUUUUAUUAAAAAUUAAUUUGAUGAGAUAUUAAAAAUAGAUAUACUGGAAAAACUGAAGAAAAAAUGGAUGUUAACUGAUUAAAUCGAUUUAGAUCGAUUUAGAUGGGUAUAGACUGAUUUAAAUGAAUUUGAGCAAUUUAAGUCGGAUUUUUUAAAAUUUGUUAAAUCUUUAGAAUAUUGCUCCUACAUAUGUGCAUAAAAAUGAAAAUGAAUGUAUUAUGUACAUGUAUAACUUGAUAAACUGUUUCCUACUUAUGUCAUGCAUAUAAUAUUUAAGAAUCUGACAAAGCAGAGUAUAUACUUGUACUUACUGUUGGUUGGUCGAGGAGGGUAAAGAGCUUUCAUGGCAAUACCAUCAAUGAGUGGUCCACAAGCUGGAUCCUCUUCUUCACCUGGAUUAUGAAUCACUAUCUCUGCGAUCUCACUCUCAGCCUGAAACGCCCAAGAGUAUAGAUCCCAUCCACUGCUACUAUACACCGUCUGCACUGGAAUCACCCCUGAGUCAGGUGCCACAGAGAUGUUAAGACGUUCGUCUUGAGCACAGGUCCUAGCAGCGCUGAAAGUGAGCGAGUAAUACAUUCCUUUCACCACUUUGAGUCUUUGCUUGAUCGAUGCUUCGUUUCCUAGCCUGACUGCGAAUUUUCCGGCAGGGACAACGAGAAGCAUGUCUCCUUGUGUGUGUCCUGAGCUUAUGUACUCGACGAAACCUGUGAUUUCCCAGUUCGGGAUUGCCAUCCUGUUCAAGACUUCGGUUCCUUUCAUGUCCGAUGGUUUUGGUCCUAGCUCAAAGUCACCGUUUGGUAACAUCCCUGUGAAUUAGCAUAUUACCUUUUUUAUAGCAAUUUAAACAAUAAUUAAUUAGAAAAAGAAAGAAAUAGGCACGUGAAGUGGUCUACAUUAACGUGGAUUAGCUUUCUUGAUGGACCAAACUCAACUUCAUUGAUUGGAUAUGUCCAAAAACUUUAUCGCAGUAUGUUUGUGCCAUAACCAAAGUACAAUUGUAAUUUUAAUCCGUUUAGAGCAAUUUUAUUGGCAAGUUUCUAAAAUAUGGCUUCUUAACUAAAAAUAUCAUUAUUUUAACAUUAAUUUAAUUAUUUAGUUAAAAUUUAUUAUUUUAGAUAAAUUGAACCAAUUAACAUAUGGUAUCUAAUAUUUUAUCCAUUUAGAUUCGUUUUGUUAUCUCUCUUUUAAUCUAAACUAUUAAAACUGAACUACAAUUAGUAUUUAGCCCUGAAUAUUCCUCAAUAAUUACAAGUGAAUGCCACUCUAUUUUUAAUUAACAAAUAAAUUUACAAAAACUAAUAGAUAUAAGUUUCCAUAAAAAUUGUAAAUGAGAUUCCCUAAUAUUUAGCUAUUACAUCAACUUAAAAGAUUGCAAUCUUUCAUUUCCUAAAAGAGUUAUAAUAUAAACGCAAAAAUCCUAAUAUUUAGCUAUUACAUCAAUUAUACCAUUUCAUUAAAGUAUUUGAGCAAAGUUAUGAUUGUUAUGGAUUUUUGUACGUGAAAUUGGUAAAUGUAAACAUAAUUCAUUUUUUAUUAGUUUAUUUCUUUUUAUCAUAAAUAUUUUAGCGUGUGCACUUCUGAAAUACAAAAUACAUACUAAAAUCCUAUAAUAAAAUCAAAAUCAUAUUUAAAUGUAAUUUAUGUUUAAUAAUCUAAAUAAAAAAUCCAUAUUAAAAUCAUAUGUAAAUUUAACUUAUGUUUAAUAAUAAAAAUACAAAAAUCCUUACCAAAAUCAUAUAGUAUACAUUAUUUAUCAUUUCAAAAUUUUAAAUUUCAUAGUUACAUCCAAAUUUUCAAUUUUAAUAAUAUAUUUCUUAUAAAAUUAAUGCUAAAAAUAUAUAUAAUUAAAUGAAAACUAUCCAACUUAUGUUUAAAAAAAUAUUUAUUUAUUUGAUUAUUUCAAAUAGUUAAAGUGCUAACACUAUAUACUACAAUCAUAUAAAAAAUACUAAUCCAUAUUGUUGUUCAUUUUCUUAUAUAUGGUAGAUUUAAUUAUUUACAAAUGAAAAAAAAUUUACUCACAUAAAAAUGAAAAAAAAAACAUAGCAUAUUGUUUUUUUAGAUUUUGCUUUAUUAGUAUACAAUAAAUGAGAAAUAAAAUGAAAAUUUGAAACAAAUAAAUUAUAUUUACAAAUGCAAAUUUUACAAUUAUUAUAUUUAUAAAUGACUGAAUUUACAAUUUUUAUAUUUAGUAUGAUUAUUGUUAUUGUUAUUUUCCAUUAUUCAGGUAAAACAAUACUGGUGUAUAUUAAAUGAAUAUAAUAUUGCGGGUUAAAUUCUAGUUUUCUUUAAUUUUAAUGUUAAUACCCAUUGGAUAUCAAAGAUAUAUCUAUCCUAAAAUAAUCAUGAUUAAAAACUUAGACAAUAAUGACAAUUAACUAUAGUUAAUUUUAUUUAUAUCAGUAUAUAUGAAUUAGUAUAAGGGUGUACGUAUAGGUGUAGAAAUAAAGGUUACCGUCACGGAAGGAGACACCGGCAGAAUUGGCGGUGGUGAUGAGAAGAAGGAAGAGAGACACGACGGUGACGCCUCCCAUUGUAAAGGAGCGCCUGAGAGAAUGAGACGAGUGUUUAGUGUACAAAGCUAAGUGAUUAACAUAGAGACUUGGGGCAGUUGCUUAUAAGGGGCUGGAGCUAUCAAAGUGCCCUCGGAGAUUGCUCUAUAUCACGAGUGUGUGCCACUGUCCCACGUGGGGUUGUGACCUCACUCCUUUGCAGAGAUUUGCUAUCUUAGAGCAGCAUUAACGCAUAGGGGAGAGAAGGUGGGUUCUAAUUUUUUUUUUAUUAUUUUUUUUUUGUUUUGUCCGAUUUAAAAAAAAAAAAAAAAAUUAAAAGUGAAACAAUCGCGGGCUACCACGUGUCAGUGGGGCCCGUGAACAGUUAAAAAACUUCACCAGAGUCGCCUCUUACAGAAGAGGAAGAAGAUGUGAGUUUUCUGAUUUUUGUGGACCCUCCACCCCUUACAAUUCUCUAAGAGUCAGCGAUAAUGCUGCUCUUAUUGACAUAUUUGUGGUACUUCCAGAAUUAAAACCCCUAAAACUAAUAAAAUAACAAAUUAGGUUAAUAUUUUUAUUCUUAAUAUUUAUCUUAUAGUCUCCUAUGACUCCUAUCUCGGUGAGGCGGUGACUAGGAAAGACUGAAGACUGACAACCAAAGAAAAAAACACUAAAUGUAAUUAUUUAACGAUAAUCUCUUCUUAUCCACAUGCAUUUACACAUGUAAACAACACUCAAGUCUAAGUCUAAGAUUGUGAAAAUUAUUGAGAUGUUUUUUCAGUAAUUUUACAUCUGAAUCUACAUGACAUACCUGAUUAAUUAUGAUAACUGUAGAGAAGGCUACUCUUGUCGUUUUGAUAGAAUGUCGGUGGAGAUACUACGUAGGAGAAUCGUUUAUCGUGGCUUGGCGUGGCUUGGCGUGGCAUGGCAUGUGUUACACCAAAAACAAAGUUCACAAGAGUUUUAUUUUUCUUUGUUUUGAACAUUUUCUAAACUCUUUUGUCUUCUUUGAUUCGUGUUUUCGAGAGUUUCUUUUUGUUGUAUUUUAGAAUUGCAGAAAUGAAAAAUGUGUAAGCUAUGAAUGCGGUUUCCAAAGUCGGCUUCAGAAGUUCAGAAUUGCGUCCAGUACUGAUUGCGUCUUAUCAGGCCAAGAAAUUUGCGUGCCAAUUCAAUUAUUUCUAACUUCAAAAGGGAUGUACUUCUGAUCUAAAUUAUGCAAGAUAAAUUAUUAUUAAUCACAUAAUAUGAUAAUACUAAUAAACUUUGUUAAGUCCUAAUUGGUUUGUUUAAGCCAUCUGUGAAGACAAAGGGUAAAGUGUAAUGUAGAAUUUUAAAAACGUAGGUUUGUUUCAGUAAAUGGAUGUGGAAAUGACUCAGGUAUAUAAGGGUAGCAGAAGAUAAAAUUUACUUGUAUUCCUUAUAUCCAACAAACCUUUUAUGGUUGAUAUUCACUUCUUAGCGUCUCUCUUACAGUUUCUUCAAGAUUACAAAACCUUUGAAAACCAAUGCAAGAUUGUAGAAGUUAGUGAAACACUCUAAACUUGUAACUUGGAUCUUGAAAUAUCACGUGUAUACUAGCAAUUACAUAACAAACAAGGUCAAGAAGUCAUAAACAUCUAGCGCAAAAGUCUGACGUAGAUUUAACUUUCACAAAUUACAAAUAAUUGGGCGGUCAGUACCUAACAACUGACUGACUGAGCAACCAAAAAUUUACUAGGACUUUAAGAGCAAGUUCGAAUUAAUAUUAAAAUGUUGAAAUCUGAAUACAAAGCAUAGUGCGAGCUAGAGGGUCGAGAAUCGUUAGGAAACGUGGGUGGGGCACUUAUAAUAAAAAGAAGAGGGGGCGCGAUGAGAGCGCAAAAGGCAAAAUCAAGCAUUUGUCGGGCCUCAUCACUCCUGUCCAUACACACACAAACUAUCCCUAACCUACCUUUUAGUAUUAUUAUAUAAGGUUAAUCAUAUAGUAAAGAUAAAAAUGUUUAACGUCUGUUAUGUCCACAUUAUUAUUAAAUCAAUGAAUCUAACUCUUCGUAGUUCAUAAACCAAAGUUCACAAUGUAGAUAGCUUUAUAUUGAACCAUAACCUUUAACAAAAGUUCUCAAUAAUUGACAACUGUGAUAAAAGACUAGGAGGAAGUAACUCACAUUUAAUUCAACAUUUCAUUUUAUUUUUAAGUAAUUCAUUAAUGAUUUAGGCCCCUGUGCUAAUGUGACUCACAUGGAAAUGUCUUCAAUAAAACUCCAAAUCGUUUUCUCCUGACCAAUCUAUUAAAUAUAACACCUCUUAUCUUAUUAUUCUUGUAUACCACCGACUUAUUAACCGGACCGUGCAAACAUCGCUGUACAUGAUUCAUGUAAAAAACGUUUAUUGUGGCGUCUUUGAGAAACUUUGUAAACAUAUACUUAACCUCAUAUUUUGGUUGUACCAACUACCAUGAACAUCUUCCCUUCUUGCAAUACAUAGCUCAAUAAAACUUAUUAUACUGUACGUGACACAUAUAUAUCAUACAACCAUAUACGUGCGUAAACAUGAGCCGUACAUAGUCAAGCAUAGCAAACUGUGUGGCCGAUUGGAGCCUAAAAAGUAAUAAUACAGAGAGAUGACUUGGAUCUGUUUGGUACCAUCCCAUGUUUUAAGCAUUGUAGAAUAAGAGUAACUAGGAUAAGAUCCGCGCCUUGCGCGGAAUUAAGUUAUUAUUUUUAUUAUAUUUUGGAGAAUGAAACAAUAGUUUGGCUUCAUUUGGAUUAGGAGUGUUCAAUCCAGAUAUCAGAUUGGUUUCGGUUCGGUUCGGUUUUUUUCGGUAUUUUGGUUAGUAAAAUAUAACUACUAUUCUAAAUUCAUAUUUACUUUGACUUUAAUCUUUCACAUACUUUUGAAAGAUUUCAACUGGACAACUAAAUUGAUCAGCCAAUCUUGUUGCUUUAAAUCAAUAGUAUAUAUAUAUAUAUUAUUUAGUUUGAAUAUUUAUUAAAUAAAAAUUCAUAUGCGUUAUAUUUUAUGAUCAUUUGUAACUUAUUAUAACAAAAAAAUAAUCUAUUGAUCACAAAAUUUUCAGAGUGGGAAUAUUCAAAUUUCUAAUAAUAUAUAGACNNNNNNNNNNNNNNNNNNNNNNNNNNNNNNNNNNNNNNNNNNNNNNNNNNNNNNNNNNNNNNNNNNNNNNNNNNNNNNNNNNNNNNNNNNNNNNNNNNNNNNNNNNNNNNNNNNNNNNNNNNNNNNNNNNNNNNNNNNNNNNNNNNNNNNNNNNNNNNNNNNNNNNNNNNNNNNNNNNNNNNNNNNNNNNNNNNNNNNNNNNNNNNNNNNNNNNNNNNNNNNNNNNNNNNNNNNNNNNNNNNNNNNNNNNNNNNNNNNNNNNNNNNNNNNNNNNNNNNNNNNNNNNNNNNNNNNNNNNNNNNNNNNNNNNNNNNNNNNNNNNNNNNNNNNNNNNNNNNNNNNNNNNNNNNNNNNNNNNNNNNNNNNNNNNNNNNNNNNNNNNNNNNNNNNNNNNNNNNNNNNNNNNNNNNNNNNNNNNNNNNNNNNNNNNNNNNNNNNNNNNNNNNNNNNNNNNNNNNNNNNNNNNNNNNNNNNNNNNNNNNNNNNNNNNNNNNNNNNNNNNNNNNNNNNNNNNNNNNNNNNNNNNNNNNNNNNNNNNNNNNNNNNNNNNNNNNNNNNNNNNNNNNNNNNNNNNNNNNNNNNNNNNAAUAUAUAUAUAUAUAUUUAUUUUAUUAUUAAAUGAUAUUUUUUACUCAUAUGGUUUUAAAAUCAUGUGUAUCUUCUUAUAAUAAAAAUGUUAAACCAUUGAUCAUUAAUUUUUAACAUAAUAAUUUUAAUAGUUUUAGUCAUUUAUUGUCGUUUUUAAAAAUUCAAAAUAUAACAUAUACGAAAAAAUCUAAAUUUUACUUUUAUAGCUAAUUUGAUUGUUUAAUUUAUUUUAAUAAUAUAAAAUUAAACAAAAAAUGAUGGAGAAGAUAUAAAUUGUUAUCAAAUCUUUAUUAUUAAAAUCAUUAAUUGUCAUAUAUAUAUUAGUCAUUUAUGGUAAUUCCGUAGGUUUUAUUUAAGGAAAGAAAAUAGUAUAUCAUAUCAUUAUAUCAUAUAGUUUGACCAACUUAUGUAUCUAACAACAUAUAAAAAUCGAAUGUGGACCUACUUAUUUUUCAAUUGAAUGUAAUUGACUACCUAAUGGAGUGCCACCUAUGCAUUGGGGCCUAUUUUAAUUAAUACAAAAUUGAGGUUACAUCUUUUCAAAUGUUUCUCAAUUAAUAUAUAGGGGAUAUAACCUCUGCAUACAUUUGCGUUGGAGCCACGCUAUUUUUUUAAUUUUACCCGGAAUGGAAAAAGAAUCCAGGGACAUCUGCUCCAAACGGUGUCGUUUUGCAGAAACGUUCUCCUUUCAGCUUGGCCUUGCUGCUCUCGCCACAGAUUUGUGACAUUUUUCAAAAAGAAAAAUAACGAAUAGUGAAACAUAUAAGACUUUUCAAAGCGUUACGCGUGAUUUGGUCUUUUAUGUGAAAAAGGCAAGUCGUUGUCAUCUUCUUCUUCCUCAAACUCAGAAUCGAAAUGGGAAACUGUAUCUCGCCUUUCACCGGAGGACUUGCUACAACGUCAGGUAUUUGUUGUAUAUUUACUAUGCAUAUGUAAAUGUAAUAGACGCUUUUGUUUAGUUCUUAGACAUAUCCUAUAAUACACCCACAGGUGUGAAAGUCUUCACCAUCGCGGAGCUGAAGAAAGCGACCAAGGUUUUUGGAGAUCAGGAUAUGAUAAUAGAAGAGAGCUUCGGAGGAGUAGUAAGGGGAUACAUCGAUCCCAAGACUUUAUCUCCUUCCAAGGAAGGGCUUGGCAUAGCCGUCGUCGUUAAGAUGUGUGUCUUGCGAAACGGAUACGUUUUGAAAGAGUGGCUUGUUGUAAGUCAUUCUGAUUUACAAGACAGAUUCAUAUAUUUACAUAACUCACCAUGUUGUGUGCUAAAAACUUAGAGCUGAGAUUGUAGGUUGAUUUUGACUUUCUACGACUCAAAUCUCAUCCAUGUUUAGUGAGGCUCAUUGGCUACGGUUCGAAUCGCGAUUACUUAUUCCUAGUUUUUGAAUAUUUUCCAAACGGAAGCUUAGAGCGUCACAUCUAUAGAGGUAAGGAAGUUGAUGAAGUUUCUUCGUCUCUCUUUUGUUGGUUAUUUUGGUUGGUAAUCCGAAAAGACUUGAAUUAGAAAUUUGGAUAAUGAUCCAAUAGUGUACAAUGGAAUAUUUUGAUUUUAUUCUAAGUUUUGGUUAGACAAAAUCUUUUUUUGUUUUUUUUUUUUGCUAAAAUGUAAAUAUCAUAUAAUGAAAAGAAGAUUUUACAAGAAAGAUCUUAUGUUUGAACCAUCCUGGCAAAAAGAGAAAAAACAAGAUGGAUCAUUGAGAUUGCAACCUACAAGGAACAUUAUCUCAGCCACAUCAACAUGAGUGAAUGAAAAUGUUUUCUACUUCUUCUUCUUGCUGAUAUAAUGUUCCUCAAGUCCUUGUCAAUGGCAUAAAAGACAGAUUCAAGAGAGAUCGAAAUCUGGUUAUGCAUUAGGUUGUUUCUUUGUUUCCAAAGAUGGAAGACUGUAGUUUAUGAAGCCAGCUUCCGGAGGAGAGUCAGCUUCUUGCCCGGCGACGAUCGGAUCCAUGACAGAAGCUCCGACCAGUUGGUGAGCAAUGUUGAAGGCGAUUGGCAUCUUAGCAGCACCUCCUUCCAAACUUCAUGACUGUACUCGCAUGCCAACAUGAGAUGGUCUCUGGUUUCAUCACACCUUGAACAGAAGCCACAUUUAGGAGAAAUAAGCAUUCCCCACCCUGCAAGUCUAGCUCUAGUUGGGAGCCUGUCGUAAUUCGCCACCCACAUGGUGAAACCUAGCUUUGGUAUAGCUCCCUUGAACCAUACCACAUCUACCCAAUCCUUCUUUUCCUGUCUCGGUCGCAGCACCUCCCACGUGCUUGAUGACCUGAAAUCACGCAGAGGAGAAUCACCAGCAACCCAAUCAAGUAUAUCAUGAACAUCAGGGGGUAAAGGAAGAGUUAUAGUAGUUAAAAAAGCAUGUAAAUCAACUUCCUGCUGGGAUCUUGGAUGUGGUAAUGACCAUGUAGUUCCUAAGAUGGCAUCAGCCACCAUGGCGUCCUCUCUGAUGCGCAAGGCACGAGGUCCAGCCCGUCCCAGUACCGUGGAGAGCUGACCUAAGGGAGUCCAAACAUCAUACCAAAAGCUAGUAGAUAAACCAUUUCCUAAAGUCAUUUUGCAAAACUGAAGGGCCAAAGGACGAAGAUCAAGAAGUUUUCUCCAAGCCCAAGAGUCAUUUGCUGAAGGCUCAAGUUUCCAGAAUGAGACCUCUGCCAAGUGAGUGUGCCAGUGCCAGUCAACCCACAAGGAGGGCGACCUCGAAAGCAAUAGCCAGAUGAAUUUCAAGCAUAACACUUGGUUCCAGACCGCGAAACUUCUCAAACCUAGUCCCCCUUCGUCUUUAGGGAGACAAACCGUUGACCAAGCUACCUUUGCUAUACCUCUUGUAUCAAUAUUUCCCGACCAAAGAAAUCGAGAGCAGAGCGAUUCAACCUCCCUAAUACACCUUUUAGGAAGAACAAAGGCAGAUAUCCAGAAAUUAACUGUGCCAAAAAUUACUGUCUUGAGAAGCAGCAGUCUACCAGCGAAGGAGAGAAGCUUGGCUGACCAUGACUUGAAGCUUUUGGUUAUCUUAGAUAUCAAGGGAGAGUACUCAGAGAUUUUCAGCUUGCGGCUCAUCAAAGGAAGCCCGAGAUACCUGAUUGGGAAUUUACCCGUAGAGAAUCCAUAGCCCACAAUGGCAUUGGAUUCGCUUUGGUCUACUCCUGAGGUGAAGAGCUCGGUCUUGGCUUUGUUCAUGUGCAGUCCCGACCACGAGGCGAAAUCGUCGAGGCACUCUGCAAUGCCAUGUAGGCUGUUACUUGUUCCGUCAAAGAAAACCAUGACGUCGUCGGCGAACAUUAGGUGAGAGAUCUUUAGUUGAUCAGUUCCGGGAUGAUAACCGAUGCUUCCCACCUCAUAGCGUGAUAAAAGUAACCGAGACAGACACUCCAUAGCAAGCACAAAGAGAUAGGGAGAGAGGGGAUCACCCUGUCUUAUCCCUUUAGUGCUUUUAAAGAACCCUCCAGAGGCUCCAUUGACAGACACGGAGAAGGAAGCCGUAGACAAACAUUCUGCUAUCAAACAAAUAUAUGACUCCGGAAUGGCUAAGGCACGAAGAGAAGAUAGGAUGAAGUCCCACCUAACACAGUCAAAAGCUUUCCUCAGGUCCACUUUCAACAUUCCACGAGGCGAGAGAGCCUGAGUAUUAUAACCUUUAACAAGAUCAGUCGCUAGAAGGACAUUCUCCGCUAGAAGUCGUCCAGGAAGAAACGCCGACUGAGACUUGGAUACCAUAAGGGGAAGGAUCUCCUUCAAUCUAGAGGCCAAAAGCUUAGAUAUCACUUUAUAAACCGUGUUCAAGCAAGAGAUUGGUCUAAAAUCUGUUGUGAGAGACGCAUUUGGCUUCUUGGGAAUGAGGACUAGAUUUGCUGAGUUCCACUGUUUCAAAAGGCAACCCAACUCGAAGAAUUCCAAUACCGCAUCAAAGUUUGACUCUUGUUAUAGGACAAGAUACAAGAUAAACAAAAAAAAAAUCUUUAUACAUUUCUUCCAAGAUUUUGAUUAUCUUUUAACAACGAAUCUCUAUCUCCAAUUAACAAUUAGUUUCUAUUUUUUUUUAUUUGCCAAUGCCACCUACUCUUUAUAUAAAGAGUUAAGAAUUGUAAAGGUUAGCACCAAUAAUUGUAAUGGUCGAUUGAGUUGCAAUGGUUGCACCAAAAAUUAUAAUAUCAUCAGUAUUAAAAUUGCAAUAAUUGAUUCCUAAAAGUUGCAAUCACUAAAAGUAUGGUUGGUUUCCAGCAGUUGCAAUAUUUCGGUUUAUACAAUUGUAAUCAUUCAUUUAAACACUCGUAAUGGUUCUUAUAAAAGAUUACAACAAUUCACGUAAAUAUAUAACAUUUCUGCCUUAAUCAUUUGUAUAAUCAUCAAAGAGAGUCGUCCAAAGUCAUUGCCGUGGGAGAUUAGGCUUAAGGUUUCCAUAGGCGCGGCUCAGGGUCUCGCCUUCUUGCACUCUAGGAAGAGCACCGGCCUCUACCGUGGAAAUCUCACAGCUUCAAAAAUCCUGCUCGACCCGGUAUGCAUUCGCCUGACUUUUUCUUGAAUUACUUGCUCAUUGCCUUAAAAGUUGCAUGUGUGGGAUGUGUAGGACUUGAAAAGCUAGACGCUGCUCUCAGUGAACGGUCGCAUAUUCCCACGAACAAAAAUAAACCAGCUAGAUUUCACUAUGCACCUCCCGAAUACAUUUUCUCAGGCAACAAUCCUCUGCUUCUUUAUCCUCUAGAAAGUUACACUAACUUUUAACAUUUUGCAAUUACUAACUGCAGGAACGAUCCACAUACCACAUGGCGGGGGAUGUGUACAGUUUUGGUGUUAUACUACUCGAGAUCUUAACUGGUCUCGAUAAUCGGCGCAUAAUCCUAGCUAUGCCAUACGAGAUGACAAGGACAACAUUCCAGAGAUGAUUAAUCCAGAUUUAGAGAAUAGCUAUCCUCUUGAAGAUGGGGUGCGUAUGUGCGAGAUUAUAAAACAAUGCCUAGCAGAAGACCCUAAGAAACGACCAUCCAUGCAACAAGUGCUAGAUCAUUUGAAUGCUAUAGCCAAGAUAUGAGGAGAAAAACUAAUGUAUAAAUUAUAAUUGCUGUAAACACAUUCUCCACUGUAAUGUAGACCAACUUCUAAAAAUAAAACUAAUGUUUAUAAUGUUCAUUAACGAUUUAGGUUCAUGUUCCAAUGUGAGUCACAUGGAAACGUCUUCAAUAGAAAUCCAUAUCGUUUAGUUGACAAAGAAAAAAAGAAAUCCAUAUCGUUUUCUACUGACGACUCUAUUAAAUAUAACACCUUAACUUAUUUUUCUUGUUUACAACAGACUUAAUUCACCGGACCCUGCAAAAUACCAUUCCACAUGAUUCAUGUUAAAAAGGUGUAAUGUAGCAUUACUUUGUAAAGAUAGACACUUUACCUCCUUUUUUGGCUGUACUAACUACCAGUCCAUAGAUGAUAGAUCAAUAAAGCUUAUAAUACAUUACACAUCAAUAUCAUACAACCUUAGACGUGCAUAAACAUGGUCCGUACAUAGCCAGACAAAGCAAAUUGUGUGGCAAAUUGACGCGUAAAAAGUAAUAGAACAGAGAGAUGCUUAGGAUCUGUUUGUUUAAGAGCCCAGAGCCCCUUCCUAUUAUAGGACAAAAAGAGACUAACAUGCUUAAGGAAUGGUUCUCUGGUAGAGAGGUAGAGCUCCCAAAGCCUCUCUCUCAGCUCUCUCCCGCUUCACCUGCACAUGGACAUAAAUCCCCAUGUAAGGACUUUUCUAUACUAUUCCUCUUAACACUAAAAAGAAAACCAAAGUUUAUGAUAUGAUUCCAUUAGAGUUUUAAUUAAUUUAAUAAAACAUUAUAUGGAGAAAACACACUCAGUUUUGUUUAUUCAUCUAGCACCACAAAGUGUGAAUAGUUGUGCAAAUCAAAUAAACAUCUGGUGGUUUUAAGGCAAAACAAAAGUUGGACUAGUUCUGUUUUUGUUCUAACAAGAAAUUGCAUGUAUAAUUAAAUGAAAACUAUCCAACUUAUGUUUAAAAAAAUAUUUAUUUAUUUGAUUAUUUCAAAUAGUUAAAGUGCUAACACUAUAUACUACAAUCAUAUAAAAAAUACUAAUCCAUAUUGUUGUUCAUUUUCUUAUAUAUGGUAGAUUUAAUUAUUUACAAAUGAAAAAAACUUUACUCACCUAAAAAUGAAACAACACAUAGCAUAGGACUAUCUCUAAGCUCUGUCUCAAUUUGUUUGGAACCAUACCUGGAGAUCAUCUGGGAGGUACUCAUGUUUCAUCGAGAGGUCCAUCGCACGCUUAAGGCGCUGGUUCCGAGCAUCAACAACCUCUCUAGGCAACCGGUUAAGCGCUUCCUUGAUGUCCAGAUCGUACAUAGGGUCGUAGAGAUCGUCGUAUCUAAGCCCUAAUAUUCAGUAACAUCAAGAAUCAGAGACAAUAAGUCAACAGAAGAACUAGGGUUCGUUCCACCGGAACAGAGAGAGGUAUACCGUAUUUGCGGAGGCGGUUAGAGACGGACUUCAUAUGCAGACGAGCCAAGAAGUUCUUCUUCGGAUCUACUAAUCUCUGGAGAAACGAAGACGCCAUAUCUUCUUCUGACUUCUCUGCUAUACGUUGGCGUUGGAGACACGUUUUCUUUUUAUUUUACCCGGGAAUGAAGAAGAAGGGUCGAGAGACAUCUAUCAAACGGCGUCGUUUCGGUGAAACAUAUUCUCUCACCUUAGAUUUGCGACACUUUUCAAAAAGGAAUGCGAAACGUGGAUCAUAGGUUGGCUUUGAAUAGGUUAGUUACAUUGACUUACCAAGAUGGAAACUAACUUGCUAGUUUUUUUUAAUUACUUGGUCGGAUAUGUAUCAUGUGUGUAAAAAUAAGUUAAACCGUCUUCUUCCUCAAACUCAUAAAUUAAUGAAAUCUUUUGUUGUAUACAAGACAUCUCUGUGUAUUUACUCUGUAUUCUGAUGUUUUUUUUUUUUUUUGGUAAAACUGUAUACUGAUGUUAUCAUGUAAUAGAAGCUAUCCUAUAUAGAAAAGAAGCUAUCCUAUUAUUCUUCCUCAAACUCAUAAAUUAAUGAAAUCUUUUUUUUGUAUACAAGACAUCUCUGUGUAUUUACUCUGUAUUCUGAUGUUUUUUUUUUUUGGUAAAACUGUAUACUGAUGUUAUCAUGUAAUAGAAGCUAUCCUAUAUAGAAAAGAAGCUAAUCCUAUUAUAUACAGCCACAAGCAUAGUCGGUAAAGAUGACAAACCCCAUAAAACAUCCGGAUAGAGUCUCAUUUUUAUAGGUCCAAACUUUUUUUAUUGAAAGGUGAACUUUAUUAGAAAUAGAUAUUUUCGCAUUUUUGCUUGAAAUGUUACAUCAUGUCAAACCCCAGUUUGGAAACGCGCUACGUGCUAGUCGGGAAGUUGGGUUAGACCUAGCGACUAAAGAGAAAAUCGGAAAUUAAUUAGAAAUUAUGCGGGGCAGAAUUUUUAGAUUGUUUACUAUGUUAUAAAACAUAUUAAUCUUUAAUUAUGUAUAUAAAAUUAAUAAAUUUUCAUGUUUAAGAUUGUAUAAAACACAUAAAUAGAAUAUAUAAACUUAAUAUAAUAUAUUUUUCAUCAAAAUUAUGAAUAUAAAUGAUAUUUAUAAAAUUUUAGAUCAAAUAAAUAAAUAAAAAUAUUACUAAAAAGAAAAUAGAUUAGGCGGCUAAGCGGUCAUUUAGACGGUCAAGACGAAUAAAAUCGGAUAUCCGAUUUUUAAACCGAUUUGGCAUAAAUUAGAACAGAAAAGUGACGCGUAGCACCCAUGCGGCCGCGUAUGCGACUAGACGGCCGAUUUUUAGAACAGGGUGUCAAACUAAUAAAUUUAAAUCAUCUUCACAUCCCUUAUUGUUAGAGGAGAAACAAAAUAGAUAUUUUCGCAAUAAAUAUUAUAUAAGUUUCCUAAGAAGAAACCUAAGAAUAUAUUAGACAAUGACCCAGCAACAGAAUCUAGGAUGACAAAGACCUAAGAAUAUUAAAUCCGGCUUUAUAUUGUACGAUAAGAAGUCUAUUAUGGUUUUCACCAAUCUCUUGUUUCUCUCUUAUACUCUCUCAAUCUCCCUCAAUCUCCCAGCUUUAAGGUAAUAUCCGCUUCCCUGUGAGAUGCCGUUUGAAGUGUUUUCUGUUAUUUGUUAGGCGGUUGUCACAUAUAUGAAUUCAUUACUAUGUAAUGAGCAAAUGAUGAUACACGAACAGCUUGAAUCUCAUUCUGCUGUUAGGUCUCUAAGUUCAAGGAACAAUUAUAGAGCUAACAAAUUAUAGAGGUAACACUCCAGUGGCCUAAAAACGACAGCAGAUCAUAUACAAAUAGUAGUAUAGUUACUUAGAAUCGACUAUGGGAUAGCAUUUUUACAUUUCCCAGAUCAUAUUCUCUUAUUAUUUGCUCAUAUUUUUCUUAUAAUUUGAUUACAUUUCACUUAAAUUAUCAAUUUUUUUUUAUUUUUUCUAUUUCAUUUAAAUAAGUAAUUUUUCUUCUAUCAUUUUAAUACUCCCUCAGUUUCAUUAUAAAUGUACAUUUUUCAUGGAAACUGAAAAAAUUAUAUAAUAGACUAAUAUAAUUCUAUUUAAUGUAUGAUUAAUUAAAUGCAAAUGAUCUAAAUAAAAAUCUAUUGGUUAUUCAAAAGGGCAACAAGUAGAUUUAAUAUACAAAUUUACAUUGAAAUUGCAGAAUGACACUUAUUUUGAAACAAAAUCAAAAACCUAAAAUGGCACUUAUUAUGAAAACAAAAGGAGUAUCAAUUAUGUCCGACAAACACAAUCGUUGCAUCCGUACCUAAAAUAUGUUUAGAUUGGUUAAUUGACUGGUUUGAAUGAAUUCUUAACCUUGUGAUUGGUUAUUCAAAAGGGUAAACGAUAGAUGUAAUAUACAAGUUUACAUUGAAAUCGUAGAAUGACACUUACUUUAAAAUAAAAUCAAAAACCUAAAGUGACACUUAUUAUGAAACAGAAGGUAUCAAUUAUGUCUCACAAAACACAAUUGUUGCAUCCACACCUAUAGUUUUAGACUUAUUAGACAUAUAUAUAUAUAUAUAUANNNNNNNNNNNNNNNNNNNNNNNNNNNNNNNNNNNNNNNNNNNNNNNNNNNNNNNNNNNNNNNNNNNNNNNNNNNNNNNNNNNNNNNNNNNNNNNNNNNNNNNNNNNNNNNNNNNNNNNNNNNNNNNNNNNNNNNNNNNNNNNNNNNNNNNNNNNNNNNNNNNNNNNNNNNNNNNNNNNNNNNNNNNNNNNNNNNNNNNNNNNNNAUAUAAUUUUAAUUAAAUAUAUACAUAUAGUUUUUUUUUUUAGACAAAUUGGACAUCUAACAUCGUGACACAAAAGUGGACCUUCCAUGCGAACAAAAAAUCACACCUAUUAACCUUCUUUAUUUGUAUACCAGGUAGAGACUUGUGCAGAGUGAUAUUAAUAUUAUAUUUACAAAAACAUAUCUUUCUUUAAUUAUAGUUUCUAAAUUUUCAAUAUAAAACUUUAAAUAUUAAAACUAAAUUACAUGGAAUAAUAUGUAAAACGGUCUAAUGAUUGGGAUGAAAUGCAAAUAUAGGCUGAUGUUUAUAUAGAACCAAUGGCGUCGAAAAAAAAAGAAUAUAGAAGAACCAAUUAGUAGAACCAUUAAUUCCAAAAAAAAAUUGCUAUAAAAUUGGGUAUAUUCGAAGAAAUUUAAAAGCGAACUAGAGUUUGACCCGCACGUCCGUGCGGAUGUUUGUUCUUAUAGUUAUAUAUAUCAAUAUUUUUCUAUAGUUUUUGUUAGGGUAUAUUUUUUACAUUUAUCAGUAUUAAAUAUUUGUUUAAUAUAACAUUUAUACACCAAAUUUUUUAUUUAUAUGAGUAAUUUAUUUAUUUAUCUAACUGUCAAUUAGAUUAGUGUUUAUAAUUUGUCUUAGUAGAUUCGCAUUGGCAUAUAGUUAUAUAAAAUAUACAUAGAAUAACAUAUUUAAACAAACAUUUUUAUUUAAUAUUUUUUCAAGUUGAUUAUUUACAUGGGUUUGUAAAGUUUUAUUAUUAGUGAUAGAUAUUAAGGAAUAGACUAUAAUACUAUAAACUAGAUCUCAAUCCGUGCAACCGCGUGGGUGUUUGUUUACAGUUAUAUAUAUGUAAAUAUUUAUUUUAGAUCACUAGUUGUAUACAUUUUUUUAAAAGUUGAUCAUAUAUUAAAUGUUUAUAUAAAUAUUUUGGAUACAAUAAUUUAAUAAAUUUAUAGUUUAUAUGUUGUAAUUAAUCCAUUGUUUAAAACCGUCACAUGUAUGUGUUGUUGUUUAUUAUAUAUUUAUCUUAUUAUAUUUGUAAUUAAUUAUUAAAUAAAUUAAUAUAUGGAUCAAACAAUAUAUUUGAAAUUUUUAUUUAAUUUAUGCUAAAUUCUGACCUGUUUUUCAAGGCUGAAUUUUAUUUUAGCAAUAUGUUUUACUUUUAUUCAUUUUAGAUAAUAUAUUGUUGUAUAAAGAAAAAUCUUAAUUUUAUACAUGUAUUAUAUCGUUUGCUAAUGUCAAGUCGUUAUGUCAUUUUAUUAUAUUUUUUAAAAUGAAUAUUUUAACAUGAUUGAUUAUGAUUAUAAAAUAGAUAAAAAAGGAUAGAAGUUUUCUUUUUAUUAACAAUAAUUGAAUAUAUAUUAAUGCAUAAUAAUAGUUCAUUGCUAAUUAUAAAAUUAAUGAAAAUAUUUACAUAAAAAUUUGAAAAUUAAAAUAUUGUUAAAAUAUUUAUCAACAGAUUUUUUUUAGAAUAAACUUUAAAUAUAUGUAUCUUAUAUAUUAAAAAUUAAAUUACCAUACAUAUAUU